GCGAGGGCAAGGUGGGCAUUUCCCUAUGGCGGAAGGCUUCGGAAGGGGGUCACGGGCACGCGCGGUAGCGUGCGCCAGCGUAGCGAGCUUGUCCUGUUGUCCCCGUACGCGCCGCGCGCGGGAGGCGUACCGUGCGAUGGGGAAGAAAGGGGAACAGGGCCGGCCGACUGACGGGUGGGUCCUGCUUGGCGGUGAGAGAGACGGGAGAGAAUGAGGCGGUCGGGCGAGCCGGCUGGGCUGGCUAGCUAGGCUGGCCUGCUGGGAUGGUUCGGUAGAGUUAGGUUAGCGGACCUGGCCGGCCUGGUUUGGUUAGAUGUUGGGUUGUUUUUAUUUAUAUUUAGUUUGAAUUUUGAAUUAUUUUAAAAUUCAAACAUACUCAUUUUUGAAAUCCAACAAAAUCCAAAAAGAGCCCAAUCAAAUUGAGAUUUGUAGAAGAGAGUAGAAUUUAUCUUCCAUUUUUAAAUCAGCACAUAAUUUAAAAAAAUAAUUUUUUUAAAAUUUCACUCAAUUUAAUAUUUCGAAAUUUUGAAAUAUUACAUACCGGCUCCCUCUCUUCCUCUCUUCCUUGCUUCCCUCUUUGUCUCGUGUGUUUUCCUGUGUGCUCAGUUCCUCGGAACUGAAGGCACGAUUGAGCGGCUCUCGUGCUGGUCUGCUGGAGAUUGACGUCUUGUCGCAUGUCACUGAAUGCACACUGACGGACAAGAAGUGGUGCCUUCCGAGGUUCAGUGCAUCUAAUGGCAGACAUGGUUUAGACACAGCCACACGGGCUUUAGGUGUCAGCGCGGCCGCCGUCGGCGCCGCAUGUACCGGCUCACGGGGCGACACCUCGACCCAUGCAUCGGUCGAAAUCGCCAGCGGCCGGCCGUGACCUUAUCUCAUCUCAUCUCAUACAGCAGGAAAUUAAGCACUCCUGCGGGCCAUUUUCUGCCAUGUGAGACUCAUGCGUGUUGGUUAUUCUCUGGUUAUUUUACAAGGGACACCUCUCCAGGUGCAAGGAAAAAUCUUGAGUAGCUUCUUGUCCAUGCGGUGUAUAACUCAACUGUCGUUUGUCUCGUGUCAUGACGCUACACUGUUGGUGUUAAGCAAGUUCAACCCCGAACAGAUUUAGGAUUACAAAUGAUAUAGAGCUUUUCUUUCGAUUGUUCUUUUAAUUGAAAAAGUAUUAUCCCUUUACAAUAGGGUAGGCUCCCAUUUACAGUGAUGACCUACUUUAGUUUCUAAAAAUAUCCUCACUCAACCACUAUAGCCCUAGGAUAUGCCAAACGCGUGUACAAAUUGGUCAUGCUUCUCACGCCUUCCGCCUGUUAACCUCGGAACUUCAUCCUCGUUCUGAGCUAAUCGCUUAGCCUCGAGGGUUCAUCUGCAUCCCAAGCCGAACGCCUAGCCUCGAGGCGCCUGCUUCGUUGAGCCUUGAUGAAAAGUCGUAACCUCGAGCAGUUCUCCUCUAAGCUUCUUCCCUGAGUAAAGAAUUCAAAUCGCGGUUUGAGGUGUUUCUUUGCACCCGCUAACUCCCCUAUAAAAGGUGGGGGUAUGGGUCGCUCGAGGUUGUCGUCGUGUCUUGCUGAGAACUUGUUCGUUGUCAUUUUAGUGCUUUGAGAUUUGUGCUUUUCUGCUCCUUGCAUUGAUCUUUCUAGCUUCGAAGGUAUUAUUCUUAUCCUUUUCUUUCAUUCUUUUCUACCUUUGCUCUUUCACAUCUAGCUGGCUCGUAUUAUGCAAACUGCGAGGUUAAUAACUCUUGAAGAGUUGGAAGAGCAAACGAGGCUACGUGGGGAUGCUCCUGAGCGAUAGGAGGGCCGCGAGGGUUCUUAGCAUCAGGAGGAUCAUGAGGAUUCUCAACAUUUGGAAAUUUUUUCUGAUACUGACAGUGGAGAAGAUCUGACCAACAUUGAGACUGAUCCUUUGCAGCUCAUGGCUUUCAAGGAGACUUAUGCGCCGACGCUUCGCUUUGGCUGUUUGCUGGUUUCUCAAAACAUGAUAGACUUUUAUGUUAGCAAAGGCUAUUUUCCCAAGGACGUGGUGAGGCCUCCCGGCGAAGAGGUUGUGUCAAAACCCAAUCCUGGCGAGGUUGUGGUUUUCAGGGAUUUUUUUCACUUCCGGCCUACGUUUUCCAUGAUACAAGAUGUUUCGUUUUCCAUGAGACAAGAUGUUUCCUCAGAUCCUGGACAGGUAUGGGGCCAAGCUUCACCAUCUUACGCCUAAUGUUUUUAUGACACUUCCUAAGUUUUUCUGGGUCGAACGCACCUUUGGUGGGGUUGUUGAUGUGGAUGGCUUUGUGAGGCUCUACCAGCUUCAUAUUCAGAAAAAGAAAGUUCAAUUUAAUGAUGAGGAGGAGGCUCUCGAGACUCAGUUUGGUUGUUGUACAUUCACAACCUGGAGAAAGAAUGAAAAUAAGAAGAUUUCUAGAGUCGUGCUCUCUAUAGCUUAGAAGAACAGAUGGGAUGAUGAGUGGCUUGCUUACAGAUUUUAUGUCAAGGUUGAUAUGUCUGAGGCUUUUGGUUUUGGUCAGCCAUUUUGCCCAUUCUAUAGUUCGAUGUCUCCUCUUAACGUUAUAUCGGUUCCCACUUUUGGGAGGAUGAAAAGUUUCCGGACUUGCGAGGAUGCUUUUGUUCUUGCGUGUUCAGCUGUUGCUGGACAGGAUUUGUGUAACAACUUAGCCUAAUCAAACCAUGUUUAAUCUUAAGUAAAGUCAUUAGAGCAGAAAGAAGAACAAUUGGCAGUUGUGAAGAUAAGUAAAAAUACACUUUUGCCCUUACAAGCUAAACAACGGUUUAAACCAUCGAUUUGAUUAAGAACUUAAAAAUCUGUCCAACCAAGAGUUGUAGAACUCAACUUCACUAACAACUUUUAUUUUUGAUAUUUUGUUUGAAUCUAAGCCAAAGAUCUUCAAAACCUCAAAAUUUGAACCUGUGCCGAUUUAAGAAAAAUAGAUAAAGUCCCAACUUUGGAACUCUUUACCUAAGCAUGUGUUUGGAUGGGAGACAAUGUAGGACGAGACGGUCCCAUCCUAUUUUUCUGGGAUGGGAUGAUCCCAUUUCAUGUUUGGUUGAAUGAGAUGGGUUCAUCCCAAUUUUUUGUUUGGUUGGAGAGAUUGCAAUAGACAGGACGAGCACCGUUUUCUCCUUCCGUUAAACACCAUUUGUGGGGCCCACUUGUCAUACUAACAACAUCUUCUUCCUCCAUCCGCGCCACGCUAGCCUCGCCUACUCCACCCGUGGCGCUGCCCCUGCUCCACCCCGCCGCCACCCCUACUCGCCCCCGCUGCCCCCCGAUCCACCCCACCGCCGCCCCUGGGUCACGCCCGCGCCACCCCUGCUCCACCCCGCCACCCCCCGAUCCUCCCGGGUGCCCCCGCCUCCGGCCGCAUCCGUCCCGGCCGCGCCCGCCUCGGCCCGCAGGAGCUCCGGCCGCGUCCGCCCGCAGGAGCUCCGGCGCGUCCGCCCCGGCCGCGCCCGCCUCCGCCCACAGGAGCUCCGGCCGCGUCCGCCCCGGCCGCGCCCACCUCCGCCCGUAGGAGCUUCGGACGCGGGAGCUCUGGUCGUGGCGGAGCUCGCCCACGCCAGCCAUGGAGGGCCGCGAUGGAGCUCCAGCUCGCCCACGCGACUGCGGCGGAGCUCGCCCGCUCGCUGUUGCUCCCUCUCGCGUGACAGAUGGGGGGCGACGGUGUUGAACUGGGACGACCCCAUCCGGUCGUUUUUGGCGGACGGGAGCAUCUCGGAUAUUUGCGGUAUAUUCUCUACGAGGGACGACCCCAUCCCGUAUGCUUCCCAACCAAACACUGGAAAAAAUGGGAUCGUCCCGUCCCGUCCUCGGAACCAAACGCACCCUAAAAUUCUUCAAUAUGAACUCAAGCUGAGCUCUAUACAAAAGUUUUAAAGCUUUGAUCCCUUAACAACUUUGACUAAGGGAGUAAGGUCGAAAUCUGCACAUAAGGCUUUCAAAACCCAGGUCAAAGUCGGCCAGAUUGGUCAACUCAGCCCAAGACCUACAAUCUAGACCGAGUCUGGAAUCAUUUCAACCAUGCAUCUUGGCAUAAGCUUAUCUCACAAAAUUUGAACAGAAUGCCAGCAAAACCCUUUAUAAGAGUUUGAGACCUAAGUUCAUACAACAAGUUCAUCAUUUGGAUCCUGGUCAAAUUCACCUCAGAAGCUUUUCAAAACUGGAGCUUAAGUCAGCCAAAAAUCUUGAAAAUAGCCAAACUGCGGAAAUUCUUCCAAGUCUAGAAACUGACGUUCCCUCAAACUUUGAAGCUCUGUAUCUUCAAAUCUACUACAAAUUUGAGCUCAGUUCAAUUACAAAAGUUGAAUUAGGAUCUGAGGACUAUAACUUUUGUAAAGGGAGUUAAUAUCGCGCAGAUAAAAAAUCUGGAGUAACUCGCGCUCGAAGACCGCCCCAUCGCCGGAUCCCGCAGAUCCCUUGCGCCCAGAGCACGUGCGUCGUGCUCUACCCGUCGCUUGCCGCGUGGCCCCCGCUCAUCGGCGCAGCGCCUCCGCCUGGUCUCUGGCCACGGCAGGAUGACGCCUCGCGUGCCCCGCCGCCAGUGAAGCGCCGCGGUCCCCCCACCCUACUCCCGGCAACUCCGCCUCGCUCGAGGUCACGCCCUGCCCACUGCCCUACCCUGAGCGCACUCCCCCGCGGACGCCCUUCUCAACACCACCACCUCUGCCAACCGCUGGCCGGGAAGCGACGCAUCGAGCGCCAGCCUCACCAACCCGACGCCCCAGCAAAGCCGUUCCCCAUGCGCACGCUCGCUUCACCCACGCCUGCACGCCUCAACUGCAGCGCCCUCGCCUACCGCGCCACCCCUCCCUUCUCUGCGUCCAUGGCGCUGCCGCCAUUAAUGGCUGCAGCAGUGCCCCGGCUCCCCUCUGGUCCCCAGCUACCAGUCCUAGCUCUGUCUCGCUUGCCUGCUCUGCGCCGGCCCUAUAAAUGGAUGCCCUACACCGCCUAUGCCCCCUUCCCCACUCGCCCAACCUCACCGCGCUCCCCCUGCUCUGCUUCGCGUUCGCUGCCGAGCCACCUCUCCGUGGAGAGCCCAUCUCCACACAGCCUCGCUAUUCACUGUCAUCGCAAAUCGCUCCGCCACUACCUCGCGCAGCUCGAGCCGAUGUCCGUUGCCGUCACCAAGCCUCGACACCGCCAGAACGCUGCCGCCCAGCUCCGCCGCAGCCGUGACGCCACCUUUCGCCGUUUCGCCGCCGCGAAGCCCCCUCUGCGCCCGAGCCUUCGCCAGCAGAACAUGGUGAGCAUACACUCAUCCCUACGCGCUUGUUGCCCUAGAAUCGCCGGCGAGCUGACGGAAUCGUAGCCCCGCCGCCGCGCGCCACCAUAAGGGCAUAAGUGUGAUUGCGAAACUCGGCCGACGGCUUAGGUAUAAAUAGUGAGGGUGUGGUUGUGAGUCUGAAAACUUACAAGGGCCCGGUUGUAAAGCUGUUUCGGUUUGUUGCUUUUUCUUCCAAGCAGAAAAUAGGUUUAGCGUUGGAAAUACGCCAUAAAUUGUACAAAAAUCGGAAAAAUGUCAAAUCAAUUUUGCUAGACUCAGUAUGAAGUAUAGUUUCUGAUAAACUAUCUCUGCUAGAGUUAAUGUUAUAUGUUUUAAUACUUGUUUAAGCUAUUUAAAUCAUAGUAAACCAUAGAAAAAUGCUAAAAUGAUGAAUCCAACUCUCAAGAGUUUGUUUCAGAGAAUGGAAGCUUAUAAAAAUAAUUUGGAGCCUAGCACAGAUUUCUAAAUCACUGUUUUAGUUGUAUAAUUGAAAUCUAAGGUUGCCUUUUAUCUUUUUGCAUAAUAAUUCAUCCAGAGGUGAGAAAAAUGUGAAACCACAUUGAGUAAAUUAGUGGGGAAGCCUAGUUCAUAAGAAAAUUUAAGGUUCUUGGAACCCACCUACCUUUUUAAGGAAGAUAAGUGAGAAGAAGUUAUGGUAUAUGGUUGCCCUUCGUUAAAAUUUUUGAAAAAAUCACCAAAGGCUAUGUUACUUCUUUGUAACACUGUGUUAAAAUUUCAUCAACAAACUCUCUGAAUAACUCAAGUUAAAAAUGAUUAAGUACCUAUCACCUUGGGAUGAUCAAAUAAUUUUAAUUAUGUUUGUACUGAUCCAAUGCACCCCAAAUUUUUACAGUAACCUAAUGAUGUUAUGUCUAAUCUACUGUUAAAUUACCAAGGUUAUACCUCCCUACUUGAAGAUUGAAAUAAAAUUUGUACGAUGGACCUAAUUAAAUGGACGAAAGAAAUCAUAAGUAAGGGUAAUGGUCCUUUUCGGAAGAGGUACAAAAAACAUUCAGAAAUAGGAUAACUUUCUGAUCUAAAGUUUAAUAAAGUUAAGUUGUAUAUAUGUACACAAUCAUCAUCAAAUCAACCUCAGGUUUUAUACCACAACACACUUUACCUUAUGCAGAUAAAGAAGGUUUAAGAACCUUGUUUAGGUGAAUGUGGUCAUAAUGUAAAUUACACUUCAGUGCUAAUUCAUGUUUUGCAUCCUGUGUGAGAAAGCAUGGAAGUUUGAACUUGAUGCAAUUGCAUUUCGUGUAGAGCUGAAGCUUGCUGACAGAACAUACGAGCUUCACCCGAUGCCAGAAGAACGAGCCGUAGCUGAUCUGCAUCAAGUCGGAGUCGAGCCCGUGCAAGAGCAAGCCGAGGACCAGCUAACUAACUCCCAAUGUGAAGGCAAGCCUCGGAGCAUUAAUUCCUAUUUUUAAAUACAUGUAAUAUGAUUGAUUACUUUGGUUGCGCAUUUACGUCUCUAGGAAUUGAUUGAAACCGUAGAUGCAUGACUUAGUACCCUUUGAUCUGAACACUAGUAUGAUAAGCUAAGUAGUUGCAAUGCUUAAUAGGACUCGGUAAAAGUCGAGUGAUUGCCUGUCACACGCGAGUUAUAGGAGUUGAUUGCUUUCCUUUUGUUACAACUAUAAGGAUGAUGGACGGGGCAGGGCUCUGUGAACUAUUUUUGGUGGUCGGUGGAUUGCCCCAUUUGUCUACAUGAAAUUGGACUAAGGUCGAGAUGUGAUAGUGUUCGUGAUUAAGUGUUUGAAAGUACUAAUCUCAUACCUAGUAUGGGAUGGGGAAGCUUAGUACCUGGUUGAACCGAGACGUGAGCAGAUCGCCCCACUGUCUCUGGAACGAAGUUCCCUUGCGGCCCCAUGUGGUGACAAGUGCGGUCAUAGAACGGUAGAGGUCUGGUCUAUGGAGCCUUGUACCGAGGGAAGUGGGCCCGACACGGGUCUGGGAAUUGAUGGGGACGGCUGACAAAUGAAGCGACCCUUCGCGGUGCGCGGAUGUCGUGGGAUUAGGUUCGCCAUGCAUGGUUAAGAAAUUUUGAAUCGAUUCGUCUGCCUCUCACAGUUUGGGACUACUUGAUCGCUAUGCUACACUGAGUAAGAAUGAAAGAUGAUGAUGAUCUAAUAUUGUUACUUGCAUUAAUUGCUUGGAAACUAUGCUCGGUUUAGUAUAGUUGCUAACUCAGAAUGGUAAAACAAUAGUAGAACUUAUGACUAAAAUAUUAAAAGUAAGGACCUACACUAGUCGCUUUUGGCAAAAACAAACCCCAGAGCAAAAAAAAAUCUUGCAUGUCUAGGUAUUGGUGGAUUACUACCACCGGUCGGUUAAGUCUUGUUGAGCGUAGUCGCUCAGCCUUGUUGUGUCACAUCUUUUCAGGUGACGUUGAUACCCCUGAGCUCGCUGCAAGUGGCACUUGGCCUACCCAACUUCCUCCAGGUCGGACGGUUGAGUGGGAUCCCUCCUCAGACGGUGAGGACAGGGAUCAUUGAUGUCAUGAUCGGCUUCUUCAUGAUAUCAUACAACGAUGUCUAGCUUCCAUUUAUUUGUUUCUAUUAUUUGAAAACUCUGCAAACCUUGUUUGAAUUUCGAACUUGAUGAUGUAAUAAUUUGAUACACUUGUUUAAUUGAGAUGGACUGUUGUAAUCUCUGUAACCACUCGCCUUCGUGCGAGUCUUGCUUUCUCGAUCCUGAGUUAAGUGGUUUACCGGAUGAAAUCCGACGGACGACCAAGUUGACUUGUUUAAAGUACAUGAUUGUUUGUUAAGCGACUUAUGUGUGCUUUAGCUAUGUUAGUUUCGGCGGUUCUGCCACAAUUUGGUUGAAGAAUUUCUAGCCAUGGACAUUUGGCCCCUUUCCCAUGGGUGGACACCGAAGGAAAUCAGGAUGGAGACUGUAACGUAGUACACAAGCCGGUUCCUUUUCCUCUCUUUGGUUUGAGCUUGCCAGAAGGGGUGAAUGCUAGUCUUUUUGUUGAUGAGGUUGAGAGACAUACUGUUGAUAUCCUUGGGCCUUAUCAUGAGAAUGAACAUCUGUCGGCUCACAAGAUUGUUACACACGGUGUCCGAGUGAACCAUGUAUUUUCUGAGAUGGGAAUAGAAGUGGAGCCUCGAGUCAAGCCUCGUAAACCCUCGAAGCGGCUACGCGAGGCUGGUGCUACUGGUUCUCUGGAAAUUGGCAGCAAUGUAGGGAAAGGGAAAAAAAAAGAAAGCUGAAGACUCAUCUGCCAUGGCCGUUGUUGAAGUUGGGAAGAAAUCCAAGACCAUUGGUUCUGAGGCCCUUAAAAGGAAAAGUCUUCUUAGUCAAAGUGCUUUUGAUGAUCAAGCGUUAGGUUCAUCCAGCAAAAGGCUCGAGGCUACGGAGGAUUCGAAACCCUUGACUCGAAAGCUCGAGUUUAAAGCUAUUGAUUCCAACAUUGAGUUCGCAGCUGUGGGGGCUUUGGCAGGUUUGAAACUUAAGAAGGCUGCCAUGAAGUUUGGACAGUGAAUUCUGAGUGCCUUAGAUGAUGAUGACGAUGAUGGUGGUUUUGUGGAUGAGGAUUCAUCUUUGAUUUCCCUUUGCGAGGUUUGCUUGAUGACAAAACUUUUGAUUCUUCUACUCAAAAAGAGUUCACCCCAAGGCUGCCAUUCCUGCCAACAAGGCUAUUCCUGACUCUUCAGUUAUGCCCGGUGCUGUGGAGGCCGCGGAGCAGCCGUUGCCUACUCAAUCAGGUAAAAAUGUCAUUGAAUUACCACCUGAAUUAAGCUUCGUGAAUGUUAGCAGCGUUUCCACUAAAUUUUGUAUGGAAUUGCAAAAUAUUGUUGGCGCAACUGGAGAGCCAUAUACUGAACCCUUGUUGCUUCUGAGGGUGGACCCUCUGCCCGAGGGUUCUGCCCCGCCUCAGUCUGUGCUGGACUACGAUAAGGCUUUCAGAACAGAUCUUAAGGAGAAAUUACUGGCUGUCUAUGUGCCCGGGUCAGGUGUGGAUGACGAUCCUUUCAAUCCUCCACUACUAUGGGGAUCGAGGGACUCACUUCGGGUUGUAUGUGUCUUGGCGGAAGCAGCUUUGAAGGAGACGUCUAAGAUCAAUGUUUCUUCCGAGGUUCAUGAGGAGGGUGAACUUGCUAAAGAUGAAGGGAAAAUCCUCAAGCUCCUGCGAGGGUUAAGGCUUCUGUUCAAACUGACACCCGGGGCAGUUAUUUCGAUCCCGAGGGUUAGUAUUUUGUGGGAUUUCUCUCUCCCUCUCUUUUUCAUGAGACCUUUGCUUAGGAUUUUUGCUUUUAUUUUGCAGAAUAUGACAAAAUUUUGCGCUAUUAUGACCCCGAUCAUUUGGCAAGGAUCACAAGUACCAUCGGCUAUAAGGUGUGACUUUUGUUGUUGUUCUUAGCGUUUUUCCUUGAGCCUUUGAAUUUUUUCCUUGAUAUACUUUUUGCUUUUUUUGCUUUUUCUAAGUUGUAUUUGCUAGCAAGGUUGCUAUUGACAAGCUUCAAGAUAAAGAGAAAGUUAUGCUUGAGCGGAGUGCUAGAAUUCUUGAGCUCGAGACUGAAAUGUCGUGGUUGAGGAAAGAGAAUUCCACGUUGGAUAGUCUUUGUACCUCACUUAAGGAAGAAAAUGAUGAGCUUAAUAAGAAUAAAAACCUUCUUGUGAAGACAUGCAGUGAUCUUGCUCAAAAGGUGGAAACCUUGGAAAAGAACUCACAAGACAACCUUGAGGUUCUUGAGAAGCUGCGCAGUACCAUUGAGAGAGAUGCGGACGACCAUUAGUUGUCUAAGGAAAAACAACCAGGAGCUUGCAAAGUCUUGUACUGAAAAGGAUUCAAUGAUUCACAAAUUGGGGAAGAACAACGAGGAUCAACAAGGUUUUAUUGAUAGGGCGGAACAAGUGUUGAAGGCCUGUUUUUCACAUAUUUAUGAUGGGUACAAGCUUGCACCAGGGGCGGAGCCUCUUCCUUUCCCUACUGAUAAGGGUGCCAAGGAAAUAUUUGAUUGGAUUGAUCAAGAAUUUGAGUCCUUGCCCUUAGUUAUUGCUGGAGCUAGCGACUAUGCCCGUGAAUAUCUUGUGUAGGUUCAUACUUUUGUUUUUUGUUUUAUUUUAUGUCUUGCUUGGUUAUUUUCUUAUUGUAUUGUUUUGAGCAAACCAAGGAAGAGGAGUUAAGGGAGAAGGAUGAGGCUAGAGGUUCGGAGCAACAAGAGGUGGAGGCUCAAGGCUAAAUUUAAUUGAAGACUAGUCUUUUGAUGUAUAGUUUAGUGUUAGGAACUAAAAUAUUUGUUGGUUGUAACUUAACCUGCGCAGGUCCUAGGUGAUGGGCCUGCGCAGGACAUAUUUCCUCUUCGAUUUCAUCGUGGAAACGUUGUUGCCAAUGGUCAUGCUUGGCGCCUCUAUCGUUCUUUCCAUCCCAAAGCUAGUUUUCAAGAUUUCUGGUGUUUUUGCUAUGAAUGCUUUUUGUGCAAAGCUUUAAAGAUCAAGUAUGUUUGUUCAGCAAGAUGUUUAAUGAGUAAAAUUUUGAUUAGCCUCGAGGGGGUCAUUGAUCUGUUGCUUUAACGUAAUUCUCACACAAACGGAUGAAAACUUUUUCUGCGAAAAACAUCACCACCCCCCCUUGAUCAAUGAUAGGGUCAUCCUCGGAUCAUUUUCUUUUUGAUGUAAUUUUUAUCAAAGUUUAUGUAUUCAAGUAUUCUAAUAAUAAGUCGACAAAAACUUGUUCCAAGUUUUGCGGACUUAAAAAAUUGGAUCAAAAGUCAGGUCGAAAUCGCAACUCUUGGUUGCUUCGACCAUAAAGUUGGAGCCCUGUGAGGUUAGAUAAAAUUUUGUAUAAACGCUGAGCAUGUAAAGCUGAUGCCGCAACUUGUUGUUGCUUUUGGCUAGGUUUUGCGUCGAAAUGCAACUCUUUUUUCACACAGAAAUGCGAUGUUUCGCUUGCGCAGAAAUGCAAGGUUCAAGGUAUUCAAAAAGGAAUAUUGGUGUUGCAACUUGUUGUUGCUUCUACCCAAUGUUUGUGUAGAAACACAAGUUUUUAAUCAUACGGAAAUGCAAGGUUUCGCCACAACUGGUUGUUGCUUUUGGCUUUAGCUUGCACAGAAAUGCAAGUCUCGAUUGCGCAGAAACGCAACAUAAUGGCCCCUUUGAGGCUUGACAAACACAAGGUAAGGGGGAAUUGUACUUCAUUAGAAUGUAAAGGUCUACAUGGAUCCGCCUUGUUAAAAACCUUGCCUCCAGUGUGGAUCCCCCCUAGCAAGGAAAAGAGUACGAUCUAUUUGCAGGAAAGUAAACGCGAGAAAGUAAAUUUUCUAACCUCACCCUGUUUAUAGAUUUAAUGGCGGAGGGUUCUUACAAGUUUGGCAACUAUGGGUAGUAUUUGCGCAAGUUAUCCACAUUCCAAGAAUGCAGUAACUCUGCUCCAAGCUGAUCUAUGAGGUAAAAGGAUCCUGGCAUGUUGCUUCGAGUGACAAUGUAAGGCCCUUCCUAAGUUUCUUGUAACUUCCCGAGGUUCUCCCAGUUCUUUCUCUUUUUUAUGACAAGAUCUCCUAUCUUGAUUUCUUUUUUCACUACUUUCAUGUCCCUCCAUUUUCUUGUUUGUUGUUGGUACUUGUCAAGGUUUUCUUCUGCUUGCAGUAUGUCCAGUUCUAUCAUAUCUUUGUCGAUCUUCUCGUUGUCUGAGGAAGCCUCAAUCUUAAGUACUCUUAAGCUUUUAUUCUUGAUUUCUUUUGGUGUCAUGGCCUUGGAGCCGUAUAGCAGCCGGAAACAUGAGAAGCCUGUCGUCCUUGAUGUUGUGGUGUUAUGAGACCAUAUGACUUUAGGCAGUUCAUACAAACAUUUCUUGAUGCUCAAAAAGAUUAUCAUGUUCGCUCUUUUGACAGCCCCAUUAGACUGUGGUUGAUACACUUAUGCGAAUUUUACUUUGGUUCCCAUGGUUGCACAAAAUUCUCUAGUCAUUACAAUCAAAUUGUUUUCCAUUAUCAACUGUUAACUCUCUAGGAACUCUGAACCUGCAGACGAUGUUCUACCAAAAGAAUUUUUGUACGGAGCCUGAGGUUAUGUUUGCCAGUGGCUUAGUUUCGAUCCAUUUGAUAAAGUAGUCAACUGCUACUACUGCGAACUUGCAGUUGCAUUGAGCAGUUGCUAGUGGUCCUACUAAGUUCAUUCCCCACCUUUGUAAGGGCCAGGUUGGUGGUAUUAAUUACAAAGGCAAUGAGGGUGACCUCUGCUGAUUGGUUGUUUUCUGACAAGCCUUGCAAGUUUUUACCAAGUUUCUGGCAUCAAAAAUAGCAAUUGGUCAAAAUAAACCCUACCUUACGACUUUGCCUACUAGAGCUCUGGUUCCAAUGUGUGAACCACAAAACCCAUUGUGGAUCUAUGCUAACAAUUCUUUCCUAUUUUUCAAGGUUAUACACCCUAGCCAAGGAGCUGAUAUCCCUUAUUUGUACAAUUCGCCGUCGACUAUGGCAUAGCCCUUAGCCCUUUGCUUCAUUCUAUUUAAUUCAACCUUGUCAUGUGGCUUGAAGUGUCCUCUUAGGUAGGCCAUAAUUGGAGCCCUCCAAUCAUAUGUUGUGAUUGCGUUUACUACCCUCGGGGCUUGCUCUUUGGUUGAUGGAGAGUGUAUGACUUCAUAGAAUACAUCAGGUGGCAUGGGUUGAUUUUGUGCAACUGCUUUUGCUAGCUUGUUUGCCUCAUCAUUUUCUGCUCUUGGGAUGUAUUGAACAGUGUAUCCUUUGAAAUACUUUUCCAUGGAUCUUACUGUUGCUAAGUAUUUCACUAGCUCUAGCUCUCUCGCCUCACUUCCUUUCUCGAUGUGCUCUUGAAUCACUUUGGAAUCUGAUUUCACUAUGAAUACUUGUUGACUCAAUGCCCUCAUUUUCCUUAGCCCCAAAAGCAGUGCUUCAUACUCUGUGGUGUUGGUGGUGGACCUUGCUUUGCCUUUGAAAUCAAGCCUCACUGCAUAUCUGAUUUUAACGCCCGAGCGUGAAGUGACAAUUGCUGUCACUCCUACUCCCUUCUCACAUCAAGCUCCAUCGCAAUGUAUAACCCAUGGAACUUUGAUCUCAUCAGUUUCACUAUUGCAUGGUGAUGUCCAGUCGACUAUGAAAUUGGCUAAGACUUGUGAUUUGAUUGCACUUCUUCUCUCGAAGUCUACCACAUACUCAAACAAUUCUGAUGCCCAUUUUGUGAUUCUCCCUGAGGCUUCUCUAUUUGUGAAUAGACCAUGUAGAGGCUGGCUGGUGACCACCACUAUUCUGUGUCCCUCAAAGUACUGCCUUAGCUUGCGCGCUGCCAUUAUUACAGCAUAAGUGAUUGUUUCUAGCUUUGAGUAGAACAAUUUUGACCCUGAUAAUGCUUCUAAGGCGAAGUAUACAAGAGUUUGUCUUGGUUUACCCUCGAUUUCCUUUUCUUGCACUAAGGUAGCACUGACUGCAGAGCUCGAUGCUGACAAAUAUAACAACAAAGGAGACUUUGGUUUGGGUGGGCACAACUUCAUCAUGUUUGUUAGGUAGUUUUGAAGUUCUGCGAAAGCUUUGCUUUGCUGCUCUCCCCAUUCAAACUUUUUGGAGCUUCGCAACACUUGGACAAAGGGUAGGCUUCUCUCAGUUGCUCUGGGAUUGAAUCUGUUGAGGGCUGCUAUUCUUCCUAUCAAUUUUUGCACAUCUUUUACUGAAGCAGGUUCUUCCAUGUCAACUAGAGCUUGGAUUUUGUCUGGAUUGGCCUCGAUGCCCUUGGUUGAGACCAAGCAUCCUAGCACCUUGCCUUGUUGAAUUCCGAAUACACAUUUUUCUGGAUUCAGCUACAAGUUUGCUGCUCUCAGGUUAACAAAUGUUUCUGCGAGGUCAUGAAUAUGAUCUUUUCGUUUGUCACUUUUUACCAUAAAAGCUAGGAUGUUUCUUCGAAGUUGUGUGCUAAGGACUAUUUCUAUCAUUCUUGAGAAAGUUGACCCCACAUUCUUGAGCCCCUUAGGCAUUCUCACGAAGCAGUAUGUUCCGAAUGGAGUGAUGAAACUCGUCUUUUCCUCCAUUGGGACUUCGUGAUAGCCUGAGAACUUAUCUAGUAGUGAUAGCAUUUCACUGUUUAUAGCAUCAUCUACCACCUUGUCAACCCUUUCUAAUAGGAAGUCAUCUUUUGGGCAUACCUUGUUGAGGUUGGUGAAAUCUAUGCAUAUUCUUCAUUUGCCAUUUUUCUUCUUGACUAGAACUGUGUUUGCUAGCCAUUUAGGAUACAUUACCGUGUGUAUCACAUUGGCAUCAACUAGCCUUUGAACCUCUGCUUUGACGACUUGUAUUUUGUCUUCUAAUAUUAUUGGAAGCUUUUGCUUUUUUGUUCUCAUGCCUUUGUUUAUUUCUAACUUGUGUUCUAUUACAUCUCUAUCUACUCCUUGCAGGUCACGUGUAGACCAUGAGAAGACAUCUUUGUUUUGUUCAAGAAUUCUAUUAGCUGCUUUUCUUCAUCAAGCUCGAGGUUAGCACCGAUGAUUACAGCUCUAUCGAGGACAUGCUCGUCUAGCAGCACUCUUUUUGUUUUGCCAUCUGCACUCAUUUUCACUUUUUAUUUAUCUCUUUUAGGUUUGACGUAUGGCUUUUUCUUCUCUAAGGGCUCAACCUUGCUGGAGCUUGCCAAGUGGUGUACAUUUUUCUGCCCCGGAGUGUUACCCUUUUCAUUGUCUCGGACCAACUGUUGGUCACCAAAUACUAUGAUGAGUCCUUUGAGAGCCGGGAUCUUCAUACACAAGAAUAAUUGCCUUAUUGCAGCGUCGAAUUUGUUGAUGAAACCCCUUCCAAGGAUUGCAAAGUAAGGAUAAUACAUUUUCAUGACAUCAAAUGUAAUGUGCUCUGUUCUGGCAUUGUCUAGUGUUCCGAACGAUACUGGCAGUGUGAUUUUUUCCAAGGCUCUUACUGGCUUCCCCCCAAAACCAAGCAAGGGUACUUCUGCUGGUUGUAACAGGUGAGGGUCAAUUUUCAUCUCUCUGAACGUGUUUGAAAAGAUGAUGUCUGCUGAGCUUCAAUUAUCAACUAGCACUUUCCCAAUUGUCCAGCAUGCAAUGAUGGCCUCGAUUAUCAUCGCAUCGUUAUGUGAGGCUAUCUUUAGUUUGAAAUCUUCCUUAGUGAAGGAUAUUGGCAUGUGUGCCCAUUGUGGCUUAGCCGGAGGUCCAUCGGGGAUGAUUGAGUGGACUUCCCUAAAGUAAUUUUGCCUAUGUUUUUUGUUUUUGAAUUCUAGCGACAAACCGCCUGAUAUUGGCAUGAUCAUGCGAUGGGUGGGCAAGACGUUGGAAUCGGAUUUUGGAUUUUCAAACUCUUGCGAGGAUCCCCCUUAUAUUGGCAUUAUCAUGCCGUAGGUGGGUAGAGCUUUGGGAUUGCUAUUUUGACCAUUAUUAGGUUCGGCUUUGGGUAUUUGAUUGGAAAGAUUUGGUGUAGGUAGUGGUAUUUCUUGUAGAGGCUGAGACGGUGUGAAACUUGCAGUUUGCGAGACUUGCUAACUUUGAGAUUGAAACUGUGGAUCAUGGUGGGUUGGUUAUUGAAGGAUGGGUUGGUGAAUGAACUCGCGAGGGUAGGUGUAUGGGCGGUAUUGGGGCCUCGGAGGUCCUCUGCCUCGGUUCCUUCCCCUGCCUGAGUGGCCUCCUCUUUGCCAUUGUCAUAAUUUGUUUGUUGUUGUUGCUGGGGUUGUCCAUUCUGAUUUUGACUUUGUUGCUGUGAGGGUUGAGCGCCUUCGAUCGGUGGCACAUGUUGAGCUGGAUAUAGCUGUUGAUGUUGUGCAAAAUUGUAUUUUGGGGUUGGCCAAUUCUGAUCUUUCAAUGUUUGCCUUUGGCGAUUUCUCUCCAUUACUCUUUUCCUGUAGUCUUCAUCUGACCAGCAGUAUUUUUCCAACGCAGCGAACAAAACUUUCAUGGUUUUAGAUUUUUCCCUUGAUAGGUGCGAAGCUGUCGGGCCUGAUGUUAGCCCUUUGAUGCAAGCUGCUAUGGCUACACUUUCGUCCACAUCUGGAGUUUGUGACUUCAAUUCUUCGAAUAUUUUGACAUAAUUGGCUAGACGUUCUUUAUCUCUCUGGAUACAGUGGAACAAGUCACCCAAGUCUAUUGUUGCACGAUGGAAGCUACUGCAACUUCGUAGCUCAUAGGAACUGUCGAGGGUCAUUUUGCCCAUUGAACUUUAGCAGUGAGACUAUCUUGUAGGUUGGAGGCUAGAGAGUUGUUUGCAGACCUAUAAAUAAUGGAGAGCUUUGGCCAAUUGCUACAUUGGUGCCUAUCACCACUAGCACGUUGUGUCCAGUAAGGUUAGGAUGUGUUUGCGGGAUGUUUGCGGUGUUCAUGACAUAUUGCUGUCUCGAGGCUGGUGGUUGUGUUUUCAGUUGUGGUGGCGUGUUUUGUAAGUAAUCCAACUCUUCUUGCAAUUCUGCCGAUUGUUAUUUUGCUUGAUUUAGCUUUGCUAAUUUUUGUGCUACUAGACAUUGGGCUUCUAGUUCUUGUGCAAAUCUUUCUUUUUCUUGUUUUAGAGUUUCGAGUUGCCUUAGCAUUAUGGCCAACUCCUUUUCUGCUACACCUGGGUCGUUUCUUGUGCUUAACUCGGGUUGUGCUUGGUUUGCUGCUUCUGCCUCGGCUCUUUUUUUCCCACUUCUUAUCCAUAAGUUAGCCUCAACUCUCUUUAACUUCUCUAUGAUAUAUGUGUCAUCUUAAUCAACAGGGACAAGUUUUUUCUCUUGAGCCGCAGGGUUCUCUCUUUCACCCUAGGCGACUCCCUAGGGUGUCUUCUUUUUCUUCGCUUGUAGCAUUGUGGUUUGUUUUGUGACUAUGACCACGGUGGGCGCCACUGUUGGUGUCAAACAAGUUUAGCACCAAACAGAUUUAGGGUUACAAAUGAUACAUAGCCUUCCUUUCAAUUGAAAAAGUGAUCCAUGACCUACUUUACAUUCUGAAAAUGUCCUCACUCAGCCACUAGGAUAUGCCGUACAUAAAGGUCAUUAAAGAACACGUGUACAAAUUGAACUUUUUCAUGUGGUCAUGCUUCUCACGCCUUCCGCCCGUUAACCUCGGGAUUCGUCCUCGUUCUGAGCCGAUCGCUUAGCCUCGAGGUUUCAUCCACGUCCCAAGUCGAACGCCUAGCCUUGAGGCGCCUGCUUCGUUGAGCCUUGAUGAAAAGUCGUAACCUCGAGCAGUUCUUCUCUGAGCUUCUUCCCUUAGUAAAGAAUAAGGAGGUGGAAGCCCUGUGUUCGAAAUCAAUUCUAAAUACUCGAGGGUCAAUCCAUUGGAAGUUAGUCAUUAUUAUUAGCAUCGUCCCUUCCAGUGGGCUAGACAAUGUGAGGGUUCAAGACUUAUUCCCCAAAAGCACUUCUGUAGAAUUUGCGAGGUUAAAGAUUUUGUUCUUCUUAUUAUCGGCAUGCAACUUGCGAGGUUAAAGGUUUCGCAUGUUGCAAUCCGCGCUCGAAGGUACUUAGGACUUGUUUAGUUGCUAAAGUUUGGAGGUGCCAAAUUACUGUUACAACACUGUAGCACACUGUAGCAUUUCGUUUGUAUUUGUGAAUUAUUAUCCAAACAUUGACUAAUUAGGCUCAAAAGAUUCGUCUCGCAAAGUACAACAAAACUGUGCAAUUAGUUUUUAAUUUCGUCUACAUUUAGUACUCCAUACAUGUACCGCAAGUUUGAUGUGAUAGGGAAUUUUCUUUUUGCAUAGUGUUAAAAUUGGAAGUUGGGGGUGAAGGGCUUAGGUUUUGGCGAUCCUCAACGUACUGAAAACUGAAAAGACAUGGCCAGUUGCCAAACGAAAAGAAGCACUGGUCUGAAGAAAGAGAGACACCCGGGCCCGGGGCACCACAGCAUCUCGAUCUUUUCCAAGUCCUCUCUAAUCGCCAUCAGCUGAUAAAAAUGGUGUGGGAUCGAUGUGACUACCGCUAAACUGACUGCUGUCCAUGCAUGCGUGGAUGCUUCAGGAACACACUCCCAUGCGUCCCGUAACCCGCACGUCUAAUUUGCCACACCUGGUUAAACGUGAAAAUCCGUGUGGUUUAAUAAGCGCAUAAAUUCCCUGACCACACUUGACUGGUAUACUCACGUGGGCCUCGUGAGAUCCGGGUCUUGUUUAGUUGCCCUGAAUUUGGGUGUCCAAAAUUACUGUUGUAGCACUGUAGCACACUGUAGCGUUUCGUUUGUAUUUGUGAAUUAUUAUCCAAAUAUUGACUAAUUAGGCUUAAAAGAUUCGUCUCGCAAAGUACAACAAAACUGUGCAAUUAGUUUUUUAUUUCGUCUAUAUUUAGUACUCCAUGCAUGUACCACAAGUUUGAUAUGACGGGGAAUCUUCUUUUUGUAUAGUGUCAAAAUUGGGAGUUUGGAUGGAAGCCCCGGUCUCGGGUUACAGCCAAGAAGUAGUCAACUUAUUCGUGCCAAGAAAAGUGAUUAAAAACGUACACCAGCAGCUGAGCUGAUAACAGUAUGGAUAGGUGCAUGCAUGGAGGCAGUGUGGCUAUCGAAAAGGCCGUUGCUGCCUAUAAAUUCAGCCCAACCAACCAAUGCUCCCGGCAUCGCAUCCGAGUGACUGAAGUGAGCAUUUUUAGCUUCAAGAUCACACGCAACAGAGACGCGGAGAGGAAGCAAGAAAAGAAGAGAGGGAGUUGAGGGUGUGUUGGACUGUUCCACUUCAAUUUUUCCAGCUUCCAAACCAUCUUGCCAAGCACCUCCAACUCCAACAAUCCCAAUUCUAAAAAAAAAAGAUGGAUCUAGAGGGCAACUUUAAGGUUUUUAUGAAGGUGCUUCGAAAAUACAGGUUUCAAAUAUCCUUAUAGAGUUGAGUGAAAAUUACCACUGCGUGUCUUUCUCUCUAUUCUUUCUCUCAACACAGGUUUCAAAGGUACCGAUUCGUGAGGUAAAAAAAAGAACGCCUCGCUAUUCUCUCUCUCAACGCUUGCGUGUCUCUCGCCGCCGGCCAUGGCCCCUCCUGGGCCGCGGCACUGUCGCCGCCUGGCUGCGGUCUCCCCUCGGUGCAUCGCCGCUGCUGGCCGCGCCGCCGUUGCUGGCCGAGCCGCCAUCGCUCCGCUCGUCAGUUCUGCCCGUCAGGGCCGCACCUCCGACGCGCGCUAGGGCCGUGCUAUUGGUCACCCUGGUAAUGGAAUCCUCGGCAGCCUGCAUCUCACCCCGUUUUUGGAACGAGUAAUGUAAGAACUAAUCUGUCAAAUCCAUCCUCGGUAUUAGGAAUUAGAAAACUAGGAUCCGCAUCACCAAUUCACCAAAGACAUACGAAUUUGAGUGACAAGCAGGUUUACUUCAUUCGAGGAGAGACGUUUCGCAGUGUGCUCAUCAUUUUGAUUUGAAUCACCAAUUCACUGAAGACAUACGAAUUUGAGUGACAAGCAGGUUUAUUUCAUUCGAGGAGAGACGUUUCGCAGCGUGCUCAUCAUUUUGAUUUGAUUCCCGUAUAUUAUCUGUUUCAAUUUGGGUACAGUAGCUCGCGAAAAAAGAAAACACCAACCCAACUAAGACCAAUAGAGUCUAUUUUACAAAUUUCUACAAUUUCUGGAUCUGAAGUUUACACCAUUAGCCAAACAGAUUUAUAGAUCCUUAUUUUAUUAGAGUUGGUGGAGUGGAACUUUAAAAAACUGGAAUGUAGAGUAGAGUGAAAAAAAAAUUUUUUGAGCAAAGCAGUUCCAAACACGCUCCUACUAUCGGCACUACAUCAGCAGCGGCGGCGGGUACAGCACGAAGAAGCGGCCGCCGCUGAGGAGGGGCCAGCUCAAGCGGCGGAUCGUGAGGACCAUCAGCAAGCUCGUGGUGCCGAGCAGCGCCGACGACGGAGGCCGGCCGAGCCAAGCGGCGGCGGUGGACCGCAGGUUCAUAAGAGAACCGAGCGACAACUGAGCCUCCGCAACACACGCUGCUUGGACGAGCGCGCUGUGUAUAACAUGCAUGUGUAUAGCUACGUAGUAAUACCGUAUAGGAUUUUUGUUUUUUUUCCCUUUUCGUGUGUUCAGCUUCACAUGGAAACGCAUCCCUCCGACUGAAAGGUUUCUGUACGAUAAUUUCGAUUGAUGUAUCUUCGCGUUCAGAAAUCAGAACCUGCUACAUCUCCAGCAGCUGAUGCCUGACGCCGGCCAGCAGCGGAUCGAGCAUCCCAGCCUCCAGGGGCUCCACGACUCCUCUGCCCCGAAACCGCUGUCUGCUGGAGCACGCGCGCGCUUGGGAACGGACGACGGACAGCAGGGUGGCGUGCGCCGCGCUCGCGAAGCCGACGCAGCCGCGCCGUGCAACGAGAUGGCAAACCGCAAACAAACAGGCAAGGGCGGGCCGACGUUUCGUUGUGCUGGGCCAGAAAGUUCGCGCAACUACUGACUGAUUGGGCCACGAGCGGUAGCCAUUCUGGCCCGCUCGUCCGCAAUUUGGUCUUCCGGGCCCAUGCUUUCAGCCAAAAUAUUCUCUUCUGCUGGUCGGUCAAACGUCUGUCGCCGACAAGUCUUUCUGCUGGCCGUCGUUGAACAUUUACGAAGCCCGAACGGGUGCAUGCGCAUGGCUGAAUGGCUCUGCCGUGACCGUAGCAGCAAAAGAAAAUGGCGUCUGGAUCACCGGCGGGACUAGAGAUGGCCUCUAGGUGCCACGAGUCCACAACCUCGUGCGCCUGCGGUCUGCGUCAACAUACUCCCUCUGUCCCGUUUUAAUCGUCGCUCAGGAACCACGCUGCCCUCACAUUCCUGAUUCCCGAGCAACAAUUAAGACGGGACGGAGGGAGUACGCAGAUUCUCCUCUAUCUAGAAUCCCUGAUGCGCACCCCUCUACCAGUUUAACAAGUUAGUUAAAAAAAAGUUAUUUUAAGAUGAUUCUAGAUCAAACUUUUUAAGUUCAUUUUCAAAAAAACUUUUUAAAUUUGAUAAAGAUUAUAAAAAAUAUAAAUAUUAUGGUAUGAAAUAACUGUCAUUAGAUUUAUUAUGAGAUAUAUUUUUAUAAUAUACCUAUUUGAUGCCAUAAAACUUGAUACUUUUCUCUAUUAAAUUGGUCAAAGUGAAGAAAGUUUUACUUAACACAAACCUAAAAUGACUUAUUAUUUUUUUAGACAGAGGCCGUAUGUCCGACUUUUUUGUAUUUUGGCCCUUUUUGCGAAAAAAUUUCACAAAUAGGUCCCUGGCGAAACCAUUUCCGAAAAUGGACCCUCGGCUUGGCGCCAGGCUGGCUGGCGCCAAGGUAUAACGUCUUGGCGCCAGCCGUCCUGGCGCCAAGGUCGUACGCCCCGCCUCCGACGUGGCGCCGGCCCGAUCCACGUGGCGCGGAGGCUCGGCGCCAAGAUCCAUGGCGCCCAGCCUCGGCGCCAAGAUCCGUGGCACCAAGGCUCGGCGCCAGGAUGGCUGGCGCCCAGCCUUGGCGCCACGGAUCUUGGCGCCGAGGCUCGACGCCAGCCUCCCUGGCGCCGAGCCUCUUAACACAGCACCCGUGACCCUUUCCUUUUGCGCGACCGUUUGCAUUAUACUUGUUUUGAAUCGCGCCGCCGCCGCUCUCGGAUAGCGCCGCCACCGCCGCCGCCGCCGCCGCCGCCGCCGCCCUCGCCCGGCGCCCGCCCGCCCGAUCGAAGACGCGCGCCCCGUCGCCCGGCGGUCGCUCGCCCGAAGGUCCCCGCGGCCGGCCGAAGGCCGCCCGGCGCCCGCCCGCCGCCGCCGCCCUCGCCCGGUGACCGGCCGCCCGAAGGCCGCCCGGCGGCCGCCCGCCGCCGCCACCGUCGCCCGGUGACCGCCCGCCCGAGGCCGCCCUCGCCCAGAGCCGCCCCGGCCGGCGCCCCCGUGCGGCCGGGCCCCCGCGGUCGCGCACCCCCUGCCCCCGUCCGGUGGGCCUUGCCCGCGGCCGCCGGCGCCCGGAGCCGCCCCGGCCGGCGCCCCCGCGCGGUCGGGCCCCCGCGGUCACGCCCCUCCUGCCCCCGUCCGGUGGGCCUUGCCUGUGGCCGCCGACGCCUAGAGCCACCCGGCCCGGCGCCCCCCGCCCGGGCUCCCAAGGCCGCCCCGCGCCCGCCAUUGCCCGCGGCCGCACCUGCCGGUGGUCCACGGCCAGUCGUCCGCGUCAUCCACGACCGGUCUCCCGCCCCCACGCCUUGCCCGCCGGUGUUCACCGUUGAGGUAAACUCUAAGGAUAGUUAUAGUUAGUUAUAGUUAACUAGAUAAAAUAGUUAGAUAGAUGAAUUAGAAUUAUAUUGUUAGGUAGAAUUUAGAUAGGUAAGUAGAAUUGAUAGAUGAAAUAGUUAGAUACGUAAAUUAGAAUAGGUAGGUAGAAUUGUUAGAUAUGAAAAUUUAUCUUUAUGAAUUGCAAUGAUAGAAAGAUUAGAGGAUACUCAUAACACUAUUUAACUAGAUGCAUGUCCAAUUUUCUUUACGUAGUUAGAUGUACAGGUAGUUACAUAGUAAACUAGUUAUGUGUUAAGCAGUUGUAUAGGUACGUACCUAACUAACUAUUAGGUUAGUUAGUUGUAUGACCCAGUUAGUUAGAUAUAUUUGGUAGUUAGUAGGCAAUUGAUACUAUCUUAUUACAUACUAGAGAUCUUGUACUUAGAAUGUUUAAUUUAUUAUGGACUAAAUGAAUUGUACGUCAUUAUAUUGAUAUACUAGAUGGAGAACGUAGUGAGCAUAUAUUACGGAGGCACUGUGGAAAGGGAUGAAUAUGGAUGUGUUAAGUUUGUUGGCAUGCAGUGCGAGGUUGUCAUAUUCGAUGAGAAACCAUCGUUUAGUGAGUUGGUUGCAAGGGCUCGGGAGGUGUUACAUUGUCAUGAAAAUGAUGAAAUCACAGUCGAGGGUAUACUUCACCUAGGUUCCCCUCUCAACAUUCAAAGGAAGAUGGUCCCAAUUUGGUGUGCAGGUCAGUGGGAGAAAUAUGUGAGGACGGUUAUGAAUGGUCAUUCCCCAAGUGUUGAAGUGGUUGUUCGGCCGGUGGGAGUUGAUCGAAAUUCUCGUCGGUUUUCCCGACCAAUGGGUCAACGGGCACAUUUUGAUCCUCCCGUCCCAGAACCUGUUAUGGACAUGGAUGUUGCACCUACCAUUCCUGAUGCUGAAUCUGCCCCUAAUGAAGUAGUUGGACAUGGUUGUCGGAUUGUUGAUGAUGUGGCGGACUCUCCUAAUGAGUUCCUUUUCACUCAGAAUGAUCCGAGUAAGUGUCUCACUGAUUUCUAUUGAUACGAGAUAAUCCAUUCGUUCCAUCCACUUAUUCUUUACUCAUAUUUGUACUUGAUGGCGCAGGAGAUAUUCCAGAAAAUGUGGAUGUGCCUCUAGUUGAUGCGCAAGUGCAAUGUGGAGAUGGAUUUCGUGGCUCUAAUAAUGUUGAAAUUUUGAAUGAUGAAGAUGCAUACGAGAUGGGAGUGGGUCUUGAUUCUGAUGAUGAUCGUCCUGUUGGAGAGAUGACGGAGAGUGAUAUUGAGAUGUUCAGGCGUAUAUUCCCCGGACGUCGUGAUCCGAUAGUUAACGAGUUUAGCGACCUGAGUCUUUCCGAUCAGGCAUUUGCAGAAGGACGUGAUGAUGAGCUCCUAGAAGCUCCUGAAGCUGGUCCUAGUAUGGUUAUUGAGGAGGGUAGGGUAUUUAAGGACCUUCCCGCAUUGAAGAGAUGGUUGCAAGCUUUUGCGGUGAUACGGAAGAGACCGUACAAAGUGUUGCAUUCAUAUGCGGAGCGCCGUUACACAGUUGUGUGUGACAAGGAACGGUGUCCAUGGAGAGUUUGUGCAAGAAAGCAAAAUAUCACCGGGAAGUGGAAGAUCACAAAAGUUGUCGGUCCACACAAUUGUGCUGACCAUGAGCUUACAGUGAGACAUCCGCAGCUAACAUCUACCCUCAUUGCGAAGCGGUUGAUGGGAAUAUUGAAGAAACAACCCAACAUGAAAGUGAGAACAAUUAUAAGAACUGUUGAGGAGAUUUAUGGAGGAUAUGUGAUAACUUAUGGUAAAGCUUGGAGGGCUAAGCAGCGAGCGUGGAGGAUGAUUUAUGGGGAUUGGGAGUCUGGGUACGAGCAGCUGCCAGUUCUUUUUAAUGCAAUUAAAGCGGUGAAUCCAGGCAUGCAUUAUGAGUACAUCCCAAAGCCAAAUGCUUGGAAGGAGGACGGGAGGCAGAUAUUCGGGCGUGCGUUCUGGUGCUUCCCUCAGUCUGUGGAAGCCUUUAGGCACUGUCGUCCUGUUUUCUCUAUUGAUGGUACGUUUUUGAUUGGCAAAUAUAGAGGCACACUUCUUAUAGCCAUAUCUUGUGACGUGAACAAUAUGUUGGUUCCUUUGGCAUUUGCAUUGGUUGAGAGGGAGAACAAUGACAGUUGGGGGUGGUUCUUAAAACUAGUCCGGAUACAUGUGGUUGGUCCUGGUAGGGAGGUUGGCGUCAUAUCCGAUAGGCAUCAGGGUAUACUUCAUGCUGUGCAAGAAUAGAUAGAGGGUUAUGCACCUUUGCAUCAUCGUUGGUGCACUUGGCACCUUGCGGAGAACCUUCUUCGGAAGGAUGGUGUGAAGGAUAAUUUUGAUCUGUUUCAAGUUGCAGCACGGCAGCUUGAGGACUAUUACUUUCAGCGCAAAUUGGAGCAGGUAAGGACCACAACAAAUGCAGAAGGUCGACAUUGGCUUGCUGGUUUGAUGAGAGAUUUAGAUAAGUGGACUAGAGCUCACGACGCCGGUGGUUGGAGGUACGAGUUUCAGUGCAGUAACAUGGCCGAGUCAUUCAAUAAGUUGUUAUUGGGGAUACGUGGUAUGCCUGUGAACGCAAUCGUUGAAUUCACCUUCUACAGGCUUGUUGCGUGGUUCAAUGAAAGACACGCAAAAGCAGAAGCGUUGCAGGUUGCUGGGGAGAGAUGGGCUGAAAAACCAAAGAGACAUCUCAUCAUUGCAAAUGAAAGGGCUUCCACACAUGAGGUGCAAUGUUUUGAUCUCGGCUCAGGGACUUAUCAGGUGGAGCAUAAGGGCGGUACAACGUCCGACGGUGAGAUCCGAGAGUCGAGGAUACAUGUGGUAGUUCUCCGAGAUUUCAAGUGCACUUGUGGUAGACCAAGGCAGUACCACUUUGUAUGUUCUCAUUUGGUGGCAGCAGCUAGGCAUCGCAAUUUUGAUAUCGAGAGCAUGAUACCACAUGAGUUCAGCGUAGACACCCUUGUGCGGACAUGGAGCCCCCGCUUCGUGCCUUUCCGGGAUCCUAGAGAGUGGCCUCCGUAUGAUGGGCCAAAAUAUGUUGCGGAUCCUGCAUACCGUUGGAACAAACGUGGAACAAGGAAGCGGACGAGGCAUAACAUGACUAUGGAUCAGGUAUCCGGAAGAACAAGGCGUGGUAGAGCAACACCAUUUCUUGCUGAUCCAGAACAGAACGAGUGCGGCAAGUGCGGCAGAUUGGGUCAUAAUUCACGCACUUGCCGUUGGCAAAUUAGUGAGGUGCGACUAGUACCUUUUUUGUUACUUGAUAUGUGUUUUAUUCAUACAGGUUGUGUUUCUACAUCUCUAACUUCAUGAUUUAUUGUUUACUAAUCUUAUUUCUUUUUGCCUUUUUGUAGGAUGGCGCACUUCCACCUUCUAGACCAGGCGUACGACCAGACCCACCGAGGUCGUCUCAUAGCGGGAGGGCAGGUAAUAAUUUACAAUUCAUGAUUAAAGGUUUGCGAGCGUCCACGUCUUUUGUCCUAUGUAAUCUCUGACUUGGUUUAUUUGCAUGCAGGUCCUUCCGCUCCUUCGUUCUAGAGCCCAUGAUGGGUUUUUGGCGCUGCAGUACGACGACCGCUACACUCCUUUGCUACAGAUGGCUGGCCUCGAUGUCAUCUCGUAUCAGGUUCGUCGUGGGAUGCCCAAGUUCAAUUCAGCGGCUAUAACUGCGUUGGUUGACAGGUACUGUUACCACUAGUCAUAUUCAUUCUGUUAUGUCUUUACAUGUUAUCAAAUAAUAAUCCGGCGAAAUGUAGGUGGCGACCCGAGACUCACAGCUUUCACCUCCCGUUCGGAGAGAUGACAGUGACCCUACAGGACUGUCAGAAGAUGCUGGGUCUGUCGAUUCGGGGCCAGCCAGUCACUGGGCCGUGCGUCUCAGAUGGUUGGAGAGCACGAGUCGCAGCCUUACUGGGGCGAGAGGUUGAGGAGCAGGGGACUCGCACAUCUGGAGUGCUAAUCUCAUGGCUGCGGGAACACUUCGGCCAGUGCCCCCAGGACGCGGAUGCUGAGACAGUUGGACACUACUGUAGGGCGUGGAUCCUACACCUCUUUGCCUGCGUUAUUUUCCCAGACGCUACAGGUGACACUGCGUCUUGGAUGUGGAUCCACUGCCUCACUGACUGGCACCAGGCUGGUUCUUACAGCUGGGGAUCAGCUGUGUUGUGCUUUCUAUACCGGCAGCUGUGCGAGGCGUGCCAUCGGUCUUCGGGCUCCCCGUCAGUUGGUGGGUGUGUCUACCUGUUGCAAUUAUGGAUGUGGUCCCGUCUUCCUGUUGGUCGGCCCGAGAUUAUGCCGCGUCGACCGUGGUUCCCAGGUGAGCAUAUAUUUGGGAUCAGGUUAAGGUUAGCCAUACCAGGUUGGACCGCGCGUACCUGGAUUACAUCAACGAGAUAGACGCGCUCACUGCUCAUAGUGUAAGUGAAUUUUUUUUAAACAUGCUUUGUAAUCUUUUAGUAUAACAACUAACGUUUUUUAUUCAAAUUUUGCAGGUAAAUUGGCAGCCUUACGACGGAGACGAUCCACUUCCUUUUCCCCUUAGCUUCGUGUGUGCGACGGACGAUGAUAUUUAUAGGAUGGUGUGCCCUCUUAUUUGCUUCUAUGCUGUCGAGUACCACCUGCCACAUCGAGUCGCACGUCAAUUUGGGAUGAGGCAGAUUUGGCCACCACAGGCGACCUCGACUAGUAUAGAGUUACACAAGUAAGUCUUUUCCUAUUUCAUAUAUUUCGAUACUAUUAACUAAAUUUUGGCUAAUAGUAACGUGUAACGUGACGUGCAGCGUGGAUCGAAAGAAGAAAAGGAAGGUCUCCGAGUGGGCCUCGUUCCACCACGCAUACAUUCAGGAAUGGGAGCUGUUCGAGGAGAACGUGGACGAGAACAACGAGCCGCACACAAACAGUGCAUACAGACAAUACCAGAGCUGGUACCAAGGUGCGACGCGGCACAGGCUGAGGGAAGCGUGGACGCAAGAUGACUACGCUGAAAUCCAGUCAUCCGACGAUGAAGACACGGUGUACGAUCAGAGUACUCGUGCUGGAAGACAGGUGGAGGCAGGACCAAUCCUGGAUAGGAUGGUAAGACAAUUGCUUCACUUUUCUAUGUUCUAUGUUACGUUACUUAGAGAUUUAGAUAGUUAGAGAAGGACUUAGUGAUCAUCUGACUUAAUCAUUUAGUCAUUUAGUGACUUAGACAUUUGUUGCUUUAGUGACUUAGUCAUUUGUUGCAGGGCCGUACCCUACAAACCUCGGUUAGAGAUAUAGAGCAUAUCCGUCCACGAGUUAGGGACCCCGAGAUACGGAGCGUCCUAGAGGUAAGUCUCAAAUUAUUCUUUCUAAUCCUUUAUUCAUACGUUACAUUCUUCAUUUGUGUAACUUGUUUUUACUACUGCAGCGAUUGUCAAAUCGGCUUCGCCGUGCCGCUGCUCGUUGUGGUUGCAGGACUGCCACGACGCGAGACGUCCACGUUCCAGCCCUGCGCGUGACAGGCGUCGGUACGUCCACCCAAGGCCCCUCAGGUUCGAAAUCAAUUGCAUCCGAGGAACUCGACGACGACGAUGAUGAUGACGACGAUGAGCAGAGGGCCGAGGAGAUUGGCCCGUCUCAGCUCCAGGAGGCUCCCUUGACUCAGCCUACACAGGUUGUAGGGGGCACUAGACUACGUCGUCCACGUUCUCCUUACACUCCAGGCACCGACGCCCUUGGUCACAAGGGUAAGGGUAAGACUAGGAGGCAGUGACGACUCUGAUUGCGAACUUUGUAUCAUAUGGACUAUUGUGUCAUUCUGAACUAUUUGUGGAUUCUAUUGUGUCAUUUUGAACUUUGUAUAAGGACUUUCAUUCUGAACUAUUGUGGAUUCUAUUCUGAAUGUGUCAUAUGCUUGUGUCAUAUGCUUCUAUGUUUCUAUGCUUGUAUUUAUAUUCACUAUUCAUCUCGUAAUUUUGUAUGGAUUGCAUCAACAAGUAGGGGAAAUUCUGCCAAAAUUUCGCUAACAAUUACCAUUUUUAUUUUCUACGGAUAUUUCAGUAGACUACGACUUCGAAAUGCAUUACAUCGCAAAAUGAACAUAUGUCGUCUACAAAUUGCGUGUCCUUACUUAAAAUGCAUUAUUACAUGACAACAUAAUAAAAGUCUCACAGUAGAAAAUAUUGUUCAUAAAUAAACCAUAGAACUAGAACCUAAAUAUGGCUACUGAGUGCAACGAGGCCACUUUCCCUUCCUUAAGGCAUCGGGAUUCUCCUCAACCGCUGCUUUCGCUCGGCGUGCCCGCUCAAGCUUCUUCUCUCUCUCCUCCUUGUUUGCAGCAACCCGCCUCCUUUCCUCCUCUUCCUUGUGCUCCUUUUCCGCAGCCUCCUCUACGAGCCUCUUCUCGUACACCUCCUUCCUCUCUGCAUCCCAGCGCAUCAUAUACUCCAAAAACUCCUUGUCUUCAGGAUCGAUCUCAGUGUCGAUCCACUGCUCAAAAUCACAUAGCGGUGGAGGGGUCUACAACAAAUGCAAUUGUUAUAAAACAAAAAAAUUAUGGACAAUAAUUAUAAGACAACAACAUUUCCUUACCAACAUGUUAAUGCGGCGCUGACGAAGUGUAGGUUCAAACGCAAAGUUGGAACACAUCCAAUACCUCUGCCUAUACGUGGCAUGUUCUUCGGACUUGGCUACCUUGCAAGGAUCGCCGCAAAAGCACAUCGGCACUGGAACACCACUAGGCAGAGGCAAUGGAUCGAACGCAUUUCCGGUCUUCUUUGCGCCAUAACUACAAUUUUGUUUAUUUGGUUCUAUGAAUCAAACGCACUUAAGAAUAAACCUACAAUUAAGGUUUUUUCAUUUGAUCCACAACAAUGAGUAUAUAACAUAACUACGGGCGUUGAGAUUACCUUAGUUUCUUAGCUUUUCCACGCCUCGGCAUCCUACAUUUGCAUGAAAACCCUAAGUUCAAAAAUGCAAGAAAUAUAUAACGAAUCGAUGUGAAAAAAAGGUACGACAGAGAGAGGAUACCUUGCUCUUCAGGAUCCACGGAUCAAAUGAAAGUUUCCUAAGCUACAAUAUCGAUUCGUAGUCUAGGGCGAAGUAGGGAGAGUUUUUACCCGAGAGAGUGGAGAAUAAUGAGGAUGAACUCUCGGGCAGGAAGAAGGGGCGGUAUAUAUGGUAGGGGGCUUGGCGCCACGGAUCUUGGCGCCGAGGCUUGGCGCCACGGAUCUUGGCGCCGAGCCUCCGCGCCACGUGGAUCGGGCCGGCGCCACGUCGGAGGCGGGGCGUACGACCUUGGCGCCAGGACGGCUGGCGCCAAGACGUUAUACCUUGGCGCCAGCCAGCCUGGCGCCAAGCCGAGGGUCCAUUUCCGGAAAUGGUUUCGCCAGGGGCCUAUUUGUGAAAUUUUUUCGCAAAAAGGGCCAAAAUACAAAAAAGUCGGGGCCGUAUGUCGCCAAAAAAAACCAAACUAGGAAUAGCCGAGUACGAUGCGACUAUGCGAGUAUAGCAGCAGCCUCCAUACACUGUCCGACAUAAAAGCCCCUAGAUGGCUGAAUCCCGGCCAGAUCAGUGACUUGGUCAGGUACCGUAAGCACAACCAAAUCAAUGAGCUGAAGCAGUCGUCAACCCACCAGCAGCCUAGUUAGGGAUGUCAAUGGAUCGGGUCGGGUGCGGUGGAGCAAAACUCACCCAUAAUGAAACAUGUCAUAUCUAUCUACACCCAUAAUGUCUAACGGGUGAAUUUUUGCAUCCACAUCCGUACCCGCUGGGCACCCGUUGUGUGUUGGGCACCCCUGGGUCUGUUCAAAGAAAUAGAAAUUUGCAAAAUAUACGCACAUGAACAUACUAUAUUAAACGAUUUAAUACGAAUUUGAGACAAAUAUAAUUUGAGAAACACACCAAAGUAGAGAACCAAUCAUCUCAACAAAAAGUUAGUCUAGCAAUGGCGCAAAGCUAAAAUUUUAUCUAACAUUACAUGAUACAUCAAAAAUUCAAUGCAUUCAUAGGCCAUGAUAUGACAACAAUUGAACAUAAAAAAGUACAAAAUAUUAGUACUAGUUCAAUAUUUUGAUAAUGAUUAGGGAUCAAGACCUUAAGAGAAGGGUACCUGUUGGGCACCCAUGGGUGAAAUCUUGCACUCGUCUCAACCCAUCUCAACACGGGUCAGGUCGGAUUUGAACCUAUGGGUGAAAUUUUACACCCACGUCCGCACCUGUUGGGUGCCAAACCCGUGGGUACCCGCACCAUGGAUCCAAACUGCCAUCCCUCAGUCCAGUGGUGCCGGCCAAUGUUGGGGCAUCGAGGCAGAGGCAAGAGGAGGGAAUCAUGCAGCAACUAGGAGGCGAGCAGAGAUACUAAGCAGCAAGUGGUGUGGUUCAAAAAAUUUCAAAGCACAACAUUUUUUAGUUGCGAAGUGAUUACUUUAGCUGAAAUCCUACCGGAUCUUUAUUAGCUGAAUAUGCGUAUGUUAGAAAUAAAUUACUACUAUGAAAUAUCGCCUUUGAUACCAUAUUGCGGGCUUGUUUGCUGCAGUGUUUUCGAUCAGAGCUCAAAAUCUCCUUUCCUCGAGCGGAUAACAUCGACCUUAUCCUACCUGUCGGAUAGAAAAGCGAAAGCGCUGGUAUCUGAAUCUUUCGCCGCUUUGUUUGGCAUCUGUAUCCUGCAAAUGUCGCAACCUAUGCAGCUCCGCGCACUACUCCGACAGGUAAAGGCUUCAGCAAAUUAAAGCACCGCACGUCCGCGCCAAUAAUUGAAGACAAAAUACAAGCAGAGCUUCUAUUCGUUGUGGUUGUGGCAGCUUACAGUGUGCCACUGAACAAGCAGGUCGAGGAUGAGCCACUGACAGCACGGCACGCAAGGCAUGGGUGAUGGAUCACCCCACCCCAGAAAACGAAUCAGCUGUGGGAGCUUCUCAUGGCCUGCAAGUUGCAACCACCAUGAGUGAGCUUCGAUUCGUGCUCGCCUGACUGGUCGCUGUGUUGAAGUAUGCCCAAUAGCCAAGAGUGGAUCAGCCCAAAUGGCCCGUACGGAUGGCCCAUUAGCUGGUCUAUAAAUACUAAUCACCGGCCAAGGGAAUAAUGAACCCUAAUUACCCCAGCCACGUGAUUCCUGGCCGGCGCACCUUUUCAUCUUGCGGGUGGGGCGAGUGCUUGCCGUCACCUGCGACACGCUGGCCGGCCGGUGCGCUCACGCUUGCAUGUAUAGGAUAAAGGUGCGUAGCAUUCCACCGUUUCCUAACACGCUGGUUCUAUGGAUGCUUCCAAGGUGCUCAGCUCACUGUGGCCGAUGCGCGCCUCAUGUCGUUGCAGUGCCCACGUGUGCUUUGGGAAUAGAUUCCCUGAUCACUUAGUCCCUUGAUCGCGUUCACACCAGGGAAUAGCCAUCUACCUAUCCCGCGACCUAGUGCUAGUCAAUUUGUUCCAACACUUUUUUUUUCCUGAAAAAGAAAGGGAUAUGCACGCACGCACACACACAUAUGAGCCCAUGGCACCUUACUGAAAGACCAGCAUUCCCAAAUACCGAAGGGCUUCGCCUAUAAAUACUUCCUGUGCUUCCUCGUCCCUUUGGCAAGGGCACUCAGCCUCUCAACACAAGCGCAAACACAAACACAAACACAAACACAACCAAGAAGUCAGUAGUAAUGGAGUACUGCUACCAGUACAACAGCGUCAGCAGCAGCAACUUGGCGAAGGAGAAGAGGCCGGCGCCGAAGAGGGGGCACGUCAAGAUGCAGAUCGUGAGGACCAUCAGCAACAUCGUGGCGCCGAGCAGCGGUAACAACAGCUUCAGAAGGGAACGAAGCUACAACUGAAUACCCCUGUCUCUGUCGUCUGUAGAUGUACAUAUAUAUGCAUAUGGCGUGCCCCUUGUAUCUGAACUUUUCUCUUUGAGGGGUUUAAUUGAGGGGUUUUAGCUGGACAGAGUAGACUGCCGCUCAUCAGAGCUGAGUGCCUGUUUGCUCGGAAAAGAAGUUUCUAUGACGACAAGAUUACAAUAACAUGAACUGUGUGCAGCAUGUAUAGUUGUUUUUUUUUUGUAACGCAAACUGGUCAUGUAUAAAAUCAACUCAGUUUUCAAUUCUCUUUGCUAUAUGUUCAUCUAUUGAAAGUGAUGGCAAUUCUAUUGCACCUUGUGUACGUUGUUGCCCUCUCGGGAGCACUUUGAUGAGUACUAAAGCAUUCAAGGAGACCCAUAGACCAUUCUCGAGGAAGAAGAGAGACUCUUCUUUCGUUGGGUAUCUUUGACCAUUGAAAACUCAAUAAUCAAGCCCGUGGCUGGCGCGGCCUUGCCGGUGAACCGGGGCUCCUGCUUAUUUGAGAUGGUCUCAAAGAGUUUCGAUCCUUCUGCAAGUGCAUCUUUUUGGUGGGGAGAAAAGGCGCAGCUUUAUGCACCCGGAACUUUUUCCACAUCCACUAUCCGCAUGCAUAUCCGUUUAACAUUAUUGCAAAGGCAGAAACAUUCCACAGCGAGGGAGUUGCAGCUAUGUACACGUACGCGAGUGAGCGAUUUCUUUUGGUGCAUGAGUGUGAUGCAUGGGAAUGGGAUUAGAUGAUAGGCUUCCUUUUCCACACCUCACUGCACUACAAGUCUACAAGCUGCGGUGAAGAAGUAUUGUCGAGACACGUCGUGCCUCGUGACUGCAACGGUGAAAAUUAUGCAGCAAAGUGACUUCUUUUUUUCUGCUUCUUUCUACCUACUUCUACCUUUUUUCCAAUUACACUGCACGCAUGGGACUCAUGACUGCAACGGUGAAAAUUAAAGCAGCAAAGUGAAUAUUGUAGCACCGUGCAUGACAACGAUGUUGAUAUUUCGAGAACAAGCAAGCAUGACCACAGUAUAAACGAAACAAGUACUAGUGCGUGCUUUCGCCAACAGUGCGAUAGAAAGCUGCAUGCAUAACGAUUUUUGGUCUCCCUUUGAGCUUGCUAGCUAGUACUAGCUAGCUAGGGUUUUCACAGGGACAGCAAGGGCUGAUGCAAAUCUUUGCGCGUCUUUUCCGGGUUUGGUGUCAUAUGCUUUAUGUGUGUUUUGGGACAAAUGUGACGGGUGACUCCUUUUCCAGUUUGCCACUUUGCUCGAUCGAAAAUGUUUGUAGCAUUUGAUACAGUUAGCAGUGUAGCCAAGAUAUCGUAGGAUAGAAGUAGGGAUGACAACGGUCAAAAAUAAAAUCAGUAAUGCUUCAUGAAGAAAGUCCAAUGCGGAAAAUAAAAAUCGGAAGCCGCAGUUCACGGAACCAAGUCAGACUCUCCUACAUCCUUAUCCUCUGGUACUCCUUUCUUCUUCCACCACACAAGCUCUCUCUCUCUCUCUCUCUCUCUCUCUCUCUCUCUCUCUCUCUCUCUCUCUCUCUCUCUCUCUCUCUCUCUCUCUCUCGCACGCAAGCGUGCAACCACAUGAGCUCACGCUUAAACCCGGACGUCCGCACAUGGCACGCAGCGGCAGCGAGCUCACGGGAUGCCUCCGCAACCAUGCCCUCCGCGCGAUGGGCCCAGGGGCGCCUACCCCACGGGUUAUCCACCACGAGCACCCGCGUCACGAUGUCCCAAGCGCCUCGGCGAGCAGCCUGCCGGCGCGGUUGCAGCAGUCGAGCGCCUCCCGACGGCCACCUCCUCCGCCCUCUCUCUCUCUCCCCAAUGACCGAUUGGGGCGACCUCCGUGCGAGCAAAAUCAUCGACAAAAUCAUCGAUGACGAGUGCAGAGGCGCACGAGUUUGAGCAUUGGUAGGUAUGCAUGUUGCAUGUGUUUCUUGGAAUUGUUUCAACCAUAAUUUUCUCAUUUUGCAUGCGCUUUUCCGAUAUUGCAACAUAUUUGAACAUGUUGUUUUCGAUGUUUCAAUAAUUGAUUGUCAAUGUGACACCUAGUAAUUUGAGAUGUUGCAACAUUUUUCAUCUUUGAUUUGGCCCUUUUUUGGUGAAGAGAUGAUCUUGCACCUAAUCAGGGUAGCCUCUUCAAUCCGUUUUAGCUUGCUGGCACGCUAUCCUCCACCGACGCGCUGUUCUCCUAUGGAUCCGCUGCUUGGAUAGGUUGAGACGGAUGCAACCUUAGCGGUAAUGUUGCGUGCAACAAUAGCAAAUGUUGCAGCGGUAGUUUUUUCUUUUUUUUUGUAGCGUCCGACACUAGCAUCCGGAUCGAACGUCCGGGCGCUAGCAGCUCCGAAAUAAAAUCAUGAUGUAGAAAACGAAAGCAGGACGAUCAACAAAAAUAGUAAAAAUGAUAUUAAAAUUAGUUGAUAUGAUAACUUUUAUAUUUUGCUAAAAGUAAAAAAUAAUUAAAAACGAAAUUAUAAUGUAGAAAACAAAAGCUGUCGGUUCAGCAGCACCUAUCCCGACUAUUUUCAUCCUAGAUAGGACGACACAAAUAAAGUACGAAAAAUAUCAUCGGGAACAACACGCUUUGUGUGUCUCUUGCAGCCCGGCCCAAACUUGCGCACCCAGGCCUGCGGGCUGGGGAUCAUCCACCCCUUUGAAAUCUUUCGGCGGCCUUCGACCAUCGUUCACCCUAGGCGAGUAGGCGGUAUGCUCGAGCAGCGAAGCGGCACCCAGCAGCCACGCCUCAUCGACGCCGUCCAGGUCGCCGAUCGCCGGAACGGCCGGCGCCCUCCCUUGCGCUCCCACGAUCGCAAGCAAGCCAGGCAAUAACGAGCCAACAGCGCUUGACAUUAGCCAUCUCGGUAUGUACCUUCCCUUUUCUUCCUCCCAAAUUCCGCUCUCUCCCAGUUAUCGGUACUGAUUCUUUCAGGGGAAGCGAGUUAAGAUUCAAUUGGAUGAUUCCUUUUUUUUCAAUUUUAUUGAUACAAUGGUAUAUUUUAGCAGCUUGGAAUCUAACUCUGUACUACUUGCUACAGUACACGUAAUGCGUUAAAGUGGUGCGCCCGGCAGCAACAGAUUUGGAGUUCCACACAAGUUUUGUUCCUUUUUUUUUUGGCUGAGUGAUUUCUUGUUGCAGCUCAAAGAUUUGUAGUUACUUAUUUUUAGGGGAAAGUCCUUGAAAGAGUGCGCUUAAGCUGGUUCAUAGUUCACGUCGAAUUGGGUAACAAAUAGUUACACGUGGAAAACACGACUUUAGUCCCUGUUGGAUAGGGUCAUAGAUCCCGAAAAUCCAACCGGGACUAAAUUUUUGAGAUAAAGGGGGAUCCUUUAGUCUCGAGUCAUUCACCCGGGACUAAAAAUCCCCUUUAGUCCCGGUUGGUACCAAAAAGGUUAAAAAGUUAAAAAAAAAAGUGGGCCGGCGGCCUCCGCCCGCCUCCGCACACCUCAGCUCCGCCUCCGCCCACCGCUGCUCCGCCUCCACCUGCCCGCCCGCACCCCGCUGCGCCUGCUGCUGCUCGGCCGCCCGCUUGCCCUACCCUCGCCCCGCUGCCGCUCCUCACUGCUAGUGAGGGGCGAGCAGAGGGAGAAGGGGAGGGGCAGCGCGAGGAUAAGGGAGGAAGGAGAGGGAGGCGCGGUGGAGGGAGAAAGGAGGGGAGGGAGGUGUGGUGGAGGGAGAGAGCUCACGCGGUGGAGGGAGAGAGGAGGCGCUACAAGAGAAUAAGGGAGGGAGCAAGGGUGAGGAGAAGAUAAGGUGGAGAGAGAGGGAGCCGUGUGGGAUGGGAGCCUUCUGUCCUGGUUGGUGUUUCCAACCGAGACUAAAGGCCCCCUUUAAUCCCGGUUGGAAUUACCAACUGGGACUAAACUAAAUCUUUAAUCCCGGUUGGUAAUUCCAACUAGGACUAAAGGGGGGCCUUUAGUCCCGGUUGGUGUUUCCAACCGGGACAAAAUGUCCUCUCGUCCCACUAGCCGUUACAAUCGGGACUAAAGGUGGGGGAUUUAGUCCCGGUUGGUGUUCACAACCGGGACUAAAGUUCCUCCUGUUGGCGCCCUUCGGUGUCUUAUUUUUUAUCUGGGACUAAAGGCACUUUAGUCCCGGGUCCAAAGUCAAUCGAGAUAAAAGUACCUGGAUCGAAGGUCAAUUCUCUACUAGUGAGUAUGAUCCACGUCGCGUGCUUGACCACGUGUAUAGACUGCAAGGCGUGCUGAAUAUCAAGUGUCAAGGCUGCCUGAGCACCACAUGCACUGGUUACAAGUGUCUCUAAACAAAGCAACACAUGUCUUUAUUUAAUAGUCUUCUCUGAAUUUGAAGCAGUACUUUCCCUUUUUCUAUGCUUACGGCUGUGAGAGCCUUUGAUGUUCCCACACGCAGUUAUUGAAUGUACAUAUCUGUUACAUUGUUUUUACAUUAGCAAGUGUAAAUUCUUGACGAAAAGUUGGUGAAAAUAAAGCUCAAGAAAUCGUAAGUCUCACUUCCUGGUACUGAUCUUCAAACCUAGCUAUCAGGCGUUCGAUUUUAAAUUUAUUUAUAUGCCUUUCAACAUGUGUAAAUUUAAAUCAUAUUACGCGCUACUCUUAUAUGUAGCAAUGCUCUGAAGUUUGAGUCAACCAGUACGUGUAAGAGUUCCUUAAUUGUUGUCUUCAUGUCAUGCACAGCUUUAAUUUGUUUUGUAUUAAGGUACAUGGAGAAAAUAUUUUAUUCAUAAUUUUAUCUAUAAUUUAAUUGUAGCUGUCAAAUACUUUUGUCAACUUUGGGUUCUUUUAAAAAAAUAAUGAAAGAAAUUUCAUUUUAAAUCAUGAAUAUAAAAAUAAAUCUCAUUUGAAUUGUUAUUGUAUUUCAAACCUAUAGACCAUAAAAACAGUACAUAUGCCUAGUUUUUACUUGAUGUUGAAGUUUAUGUAGGAAAAAUUGAAAACUUUUGGACAGUUUGAAUAGCAAUGAAGUUAGCAGUAGAAGAUUAUGAUUCUAAGGACACCAGGAACAAUGGUGGUUCUGGACGUUGGCUUUAUUUGGCAGGAACUUCCCCUAAUUUCCUAGAUUUUAUAAAUGAUUAAAUAGCUUAUAGAAAGAUUGAUUAUAUGCAUUAAUGUGUACUUUCCCUUUACCUUCUAUGUUUAAUAGAAGGAAAAACAUUGAAGAAAAUAACUUUUUAUGAUUCAACGACAUCUAGGAUCCACCAGAUCGACCUCUUAGAAGUAAAACGAAGUACCUUAAAAUUUUCUUUUUGUUUUUUUCAGCCAGCACCGAUGCAAACAAUCCAUAAUCCAGUGGCAGCAGAACCUGUUCUCCACGGUGCUGAAUCUGCUGAUAGUAAAGACGAAGAUGGAUCAACUUCAGUUAAGUGUGAUCCAUGGAAUCCUGAACUUCCUCCUCCUGCUGCUGCCAUAUAUGAAGCAGAUGACUUGAAUGUCCAACUGAAAAUGAUUUUUGAGGUACGAUUACAAGCCACGCAUGCGCUAUUUGACUCCUUCAUUUCCUAGAAUCCCUUUUAUUUGCAUCGGUUUCUAACUGACACUUUAUUCAUCAGUAUGAAGCUCAAAAUGACAAGAUACUCUCUGAGUCCAGAUCUAGAAGCAUAAUUACCCCAAAGCGCACUCCUAAGGUUCCUAGCUCAUUUCGUUUAGUAUACUUUCAGUUAUGCUGCAUUUUUUCUGUAAAUAUCUUGUGACAGUACAAUUCAUUAGCUUAAUAUGUAUUCAGCAUGAUUUUAUUUGCUCUGACCUAUCAGCUCGAUAACUGACUGACUGUUACCGUUUCCGAAACAUGAAUGUAUAAAUCUAGUCUGUGCGUCUUGACUUCUGUGUGAUAUCACCCUGCUUGUCAACCAUCUUGAAGAAGGAUAGUGUCCGGAGCUUCCUCAAUCUCUUCGCCGGAAAUUGGCGACGCUUGGUAUGGGGCCGGGUCAUCACCCCGCACACCUUCAACUUCAUUGUGAGACACGAUGCCUUGCACUGUGCCAAGGUUGCCGUGGAAGGCAAGGCGCCAAAGCUCGGCGUGGGAACCGGGCCAACCCUAAUUACAUGAACAGCUUUGAGUCUUUCCCCCUUCACCAAGCAGCUAUGAUGUUUUCUCUUGACAUGAUCAACUUGCUUAUAGACUACGGGGCAUCAGCCAAUGUACACAUUGAGGGGAAUAAAGUCAUUGAGGGUCUUCUUCCACUUCAUGUUGCCGUUGAGGAUGCUUGCAUGCAUAAGUAUCUUGAGGUAAUGCUCCUUGCAGCCCAAAAACAGUUGUGUAACCUGAAUGGGUUUGAUAUUAUCAAGUUGCGCAUUUUUGAUUCCACAGUUUCCCUAGAACUACAAGGAUCCGGAUUGGAGAGGGGUAAGAAUCGCAAGGCACAUAAGCUGUUGAAGGAGAAGAAGUACCUUUUCCAAUGUGUCUGUACUUGUUUUUAUAAUUCUGCGAGCUAGUGAAGCUCUUGAUGCAUACGUGCAAACACAUUCAGAGGUGCAUUGCUUUCCCUGAUCUCUUCCUUGUGCCAAAUAUUAUAGUAUACACUAAAAAUGGAAGUAAUUCAUGAAUCACGAGGCUCAGUUGUUGUAGGUGCCCCAUCACGAGGUACUAGAAUAUGUUUCAUCAGUUCUCAAGGAUUAUGGUUUCUCCCCUACUGGAAAAGGCAUUGAUGUUGGAUAUCUUUACUGGUUUGUCUAUCUAUCUGCAUUCUCUUUCAUUCAUUGCCAUUCCAUAUACACAUUUACACAAUGAUCUUAUACUUUUCCCCCAAUUGUUCUUGAAGCCACCCUUAUGAUUGCGGUGAGUCAGAGGAUACAAUACAAAGGAUGUGGUUUCUAUUUGUGCUUUCUCCAUUUUUUUUUUUGCCAAAUCUAACAAAUAAUAACACAUGUUCUAUGACGGAGAACAGGGAACCUGGAUACAACCCAAACAGCUAUGGAAUCAUCUAAUCUGAAGGUAUAGUAUCUCCAAUCCAAGGCCUGUGUCUUUUCUAUUUUUUGGGGAAUAUUAUAACCUGUUUAAUUUCAAUAUUUUUUAUUCCAUUUACUUGUGGGGGUAGAAAGGUUUGUUUAGUUCAUCUGGCUAACUUUAGACCAAAUACCAUGCCCUGCAUAUGCCAUGUUUUUGUUGGGAAGUGAAAUUAACUAUGGCCCCAAGUACCAUCCUUAUUUUCUCGUUUAUUUUGCAUAUGUUAAGAACUUUAGUCGUUACCAGUUAUCUACUGCGAAAUAUAAUUCUAGAAUUGUUUACUGCAGCCUUUUCAAAGUUCUUUGGUGGCUUGAUAUGGCAUGUUUAUCAUUUAGUUAUAGAAAAUUUCAUGUGCAGGAGUACUUUAUAGAACACAUAUGCACAAAUUCAAGUAGUUUCUUGAAUCUUAUCGUGAUUCAUAUACAUAUACUAUUGCAAUUGACUUUGUGGAAUUUUCUCUGUUAGCUGGGAAAUAUAUCAAUGAGGGAUUGAAAAUCAACGCUUAGUACUGUAAUAAUGUAAUUAAUAUAUAUAUCUCGAUCUAGUACCAGCUGUCGUUCUUGGAUUUCUGACACUGAGAUGUUUGGUUGAUCCAACAACUAACCAGGCUGUGGGAAAGCAAGCACCCCAAAGACAAGAUUACAGGAUGUUCAUUCCCUACUGGAGAUCAAUGUUGCAAUCUCGUUUGCCCGUUAGGAUGAUUCUGGCUCAUGCAUUGAAGUCACAGCACAAGCCAGGCACUCGACGGUUUCAUACCGCUGCUGGUAGUUCAGGAAACAUGUCAAAGGAUGGGAGAUCUCUGUUUCUGAACUGCAGCCUUCGAUUGAUGGGAAGGGCUCCACAGCUGCGAAUUCAUCAGUCGAGGAGGAUGUAUACCACUGCUGCGCUUUUUUUUUAAGAAGAACUCAUCCUGCUUUUAUAGAAAGCCAUAAAGGUUUGUUACAGAGCGUUUGCUGGGAAUACCAGCUUACAAGAGAGAACUUCAGAAAAGCCUAGCAACAUACUAAGCUGAAUAAUCUGCAGACAUAUGCUAAAAGAUUACACCAUCGGAGUCUAUCGUAGAAGGUAACAGCAGCUCAAAUGAAGUCCUCCAUCGGGUCUUGAUUGCGUUCCUCUGCUAGGAAUCCUUUCACCCAGGUCACCACUUGGUUGUUUAGCCAUUCCAGGCAGCCUUUGUCAGACUCCUGCAGCAAUAUUUUCCACCUCUGCAAGUAAGAUGAGAUAGCAAAAAUGACAUCACAGGGUGAAUUUGAGAAUUUGCGUUCAAUUCUCAGCUUGUUUCGUUGAUUCUAUAACACCCACAAGAUUAUUGCAAACGAAAAAAAACAUAUCAUAAUUAGCUCCUCCCAAAACUAGCCACCACCUUAGAAACUCCUGCAGGCCGCAUGGAGUGUUCUCCCAGCUGAGGGCUUCCUUGAAACACACUCAAACAAAUUUAGCUAAGAUGCAUUGAAAGAAAAUAUGAUCAGAAGUUUCUAGCAUCCCACAUAAUGGGCAUCUGGCAUCUCCUUUCCAUCCUUUUCUCUUCAACGCCACACUAGACGGUAAUCUGCUAUGGAACAGAGACCAUAGGAACACCCUUAGUUUCAUCGGCAGUUUGCUUUUCCACAGUCUGAUCGCACAUCUGUCCUGCACACCCCUAAAAGUUAGAAAUCUGUACAUAGACUUGGUUGUGUACUGUCCCUUGUUCUCAAGACUCCAGACCACCUUGUCCCUUUGGCCAUUCAGGUAAGCCCUUGUUUACUUCCCUCCAAACUCCCAACUUUGACACUAUGCAAAAAGAAGAUUCCCCAUCACAUCAAACUUGCGGUACAUGCAUGGAGUACUAAAUGUAGACGAAAUCAAAAACUAAUUGCACAGUUUUGUUGUACUUUGCGAGACGAAUCUUUUGAGCCUAAUUAGUCAAUAUUUGGAUAAUAAUUCACAUAUACAAACGAAACGCUACAGUGUCGCAUUUAUGGCAAAAUGCCAAUUUUGCAACUCCCAACUUGAGAAGUAAACAAGACCUAAAUAGGGUCAAGCUAGUGAAUCCCAUUCUCGAACUUCGUUGGGACCAAAUGGUCACCUGAAGUCCUCGCCAGCUAAAAAAAACACUUGCUGACCAGGACCUCUUGGUCCAUAUAGCCCGAGGAAUUCUAGUUUAAGGGGAACAUUAUCUACCUAAGUAUCUAUCUAAAACCUCACAGAUUUCCCAUUGUUAACUUGGAAGGUAGCUCCAAAGAAGAACUUAUCGUUGACUUUAUGUAGCCCUUUCCAGAACUGAGACCCCCUGCCCCCUUGCUAUGGAUAAAAGUAGUGUUUCUAAGGUAUUUCGCUUUUAGGAAGGAGCAACACAUGUCCCCCUCCUCUGAAUUGUAUAUUCUUCAUACCUAUUUGAGGAGCAACGCUUCAUUUAGGAUUCUAGUGUUCAUUAUGCCCAGCCCACCAUAGUCCUUAGGGAUGCACAAUUUUUCUCAUUUAACCAUGUGGUAUUUGAAUUUAUCCUCAGCCCCCCUCCAGAAAAAAUCUUGAUCUGAUUGUGUCCAUCUGUUGGUGCGUCCCCUCAUGGAGCAUGAACAUUCCCAUAAGAUAGAUAGGCAUGCUACUAAGGGAGGAGUUUGUGAGAUUGAGUCUCCCACCAGAUGUCAGGUUCUUCCCCUUCCAAGGUUGUAGCUUAUUUCUCAUUUUGCCCACCAUUCCCCCAAAGGCCUGCAGACCUACAUUCUUAUCACUCAUAGGAAUGCUUAGGUAAGACAUUGGAUCCCCCCCCCCCCACACACACUAUGCAAUUUAGUGUAUCUGCAAUUCUGGAUUGUUCCUCUUCCGAGACACCGAAGGUCAGAACCUCGCUCUUGUGGUAGUUGAUUUUAAAGUACAACAGGAAUUUCAUGUUGAUUAUAGUCUUGUCAUCGCAAUCCAUCAUAAUGGCCGUAUCAUCUGCGUACUGAAUAUGAGUGAGCCUCCUGGGAACUAGGUUGGGAACCACCACUCUAAUGUGACCUUUCUAUUUAGCUUUGUUCAGGAUGUGGUCUAAGGCAUCUACAGCUAGGUUAAAAAGCAAAGGUGACAGCGGGUCCCCCUGCCGCAACCUCCUGUGUGUCUUAAAGUAUGGCACAUUUUCGUCAUUGGUGUUAACACAUACUUUCCUGCCUGGAUUGUGCUUAUGAUCCAUUGGAUGACGAGAGGAUCAAAGCCUUUCCUCUUUAGAACCUGUUCUACAAAAACCCAACUUACGCUAUCAUAAGCCUUCUCGAAGUCGAUCAUCAUUAUCACCCCCUUUUGUUUCUUCUGUCUCAGCUCAUGCAUGGUCUCAAGUAAGAGGACCGUACUGUCUAAGAUGUAUCUCCCAUUGAUGAAUGCUGACUGGCACUUUCCUACCACCUUGUCUGCUAGUUUGGAUAAUCUUGACAUUAUCAGUCGUGUGAAGAUUUUGAAGCUGACAUUGAGGAGACAAAUGGGCUUGUACUGCUUGACAUUGUUAGCAUUCCCUCCUUUCAGCACCAACGUGAUAACCCCGUAAUUCAGUCUUGUCAUGUCUAAUUCCCCCCUUAGAAGUCAUUUAUCAUUUCCAUUAGUUCCCCUUUGGUUAGAUUCUAGAAAUUUUUGUAGAAUGACACCCCAAAACAUAUGGUCUAGGAGCUGAGUCUUCCUUCAUUUCAAAUACCACCUUGUUCACUUCUUCUUAAGAAAAAAGCUUGGUUAGGGCCUCAUUAUCCUGUUGAUCCAGCCUUCAUUCCGUCACCCAGGCUUCUUCACUCAAGGUUACCCUUCCUUCUUCUCUUCUCCCAAAGAGCCCCUUGUAGUAGUCAUAGAUGAUUUUUCUAAAUUUGUUGUUGGUCCAUGACGUUCUCCCCAUUAUGUUCUAGAGACAGGAUAGUUUUUUUUUCUCCUCCUCCCAUUUGCAGUAAGAUGGAAGAAGGUUGUGUUGUUAUCUCCUUCUAGGAUCCAUUUCUCUCCCCCUCUCUUCUGUCAUAAUAUCUUCCAGCUCCACCUCCAAUCGGACCCUUUCCUCCAGUUGUCCAACGGUUGCCACCCUAGAGUCAUUAUUGUCAAUCUGUUUGAUUCUUCCUAGAAGUUCCUCCUUCCUCCUUCCUCCUUCUGUAUGCACCCCUCGUAUUAGCCCCCCAUCCUUUGAGAAAUUGCCGAAGGGGAGAGAUCUGUCCAUGCCAGAUAUCAAGUGAGUAGGCUUCAUCUGGGCAUCUUUCCCUUCCUGCCAGCCACUUUUCUUCCACUAGUGAUUUGAAAUCGUUCUGUUUCACCCAUUGUUUGUCAUAGAAGAAUUGUUUGCAUUUACGCCCUAGGUCUUGCUUCUCCCCCUUAUUAAGCAAGAGCGGGCAGUGAUCUGAACACACUCAGGUUAGACUUGUUAGAGAUGAAAGCGGAAAGUUUUGUUCCCAAUCAGUUGUCAUCAGAACUCGAUCUAUGUUACUCAUCACUGGGUUGGUCUGUUGUUCGUCCAUGUGAAUCUCGCCUCCUUAUAUUCCAGAUAAGUAUCUUCAUUUGUAACUAAUUCUUUUGAGCUCUCUGCUCAGCUUAUCGCCCUCCUAGUAGUUUUAGUGACUUUCUUGUUUACAGAGAAACCUGAUGUACCACUGCUGCGCUUUCACUGCUGAAAAUGUAGAAGCGCGCAUAAGUAGAAAGGUAUGCCGGGUAUGUUCUUUCUUAUUCUCGAUCUUGUGACUCUUAGCAAAACGUCCUUGUAUUUAUCAUGUUUCGGUUUUGCAGGUACUUGCAACUUUCAGUGGUGAUCUGGCAUGCAUGGUUUAUCAGCGUUGGAUGGGCUUUUGAGCUUUUUGGUCGGGCUGUAGUGAGUUAAGUGACAGCACGCAAGGACGAUGCAAAUCCGUAUGCAUUUUUCAAUUGUAUACGCGUCUGAUAGGUGUUCUUUUGAUGGAUAUUUAGAAAUUAAAGGAGUGUACUGCUACACAUCCACUGAUUGCUACCGUGGCUGUCUGACCAAAGAACAUCACGCCCACCACAACUCACAACUGUGUCGUGCGUUGUUGCCGCGAGCGCACCUCUGAGUUGUCAGUUGUUGCUGCUGCUUUGUUGUGUUUUUGUUUUUCUCCUCCUAAUAAAAAUUUGACAACUUUCUUUCGGAAAAGAAACUGUGUCGUGCGUGCACUACCGAUCAUGCAUACUUGGUAAAAUUGGAAGGCCAGCAUCGUGAUAGCACACAGCUGAAAACAUCACGUGUUUGUGCCAGGAAGGGCUAAAAUCAAAAUCUUCAUUUAUUUCUAUAGUAGAAAAUCGUGUACACUAGUAAUGUUAAUCAAGCGUAUCUUUGGUUGGGGGUAGUUUUCCAUGUUCUCGUGCUGGUUUGUGGGUAAAUUGGCUUCCAAGGACAUCGCGUAACAAUAGAGAAGAGGUUUGUUAACAAUCCAUCUGAAGUCCCAGCAGCAGCAUGGCGUGGUGCUCUUCCUUCGGCAGAACCGCAGGAGCUCGAAGCUCCGGCAGCCUGGUGCUUGGGGUGCUCCCAUCACCGGAGCACUUGGAUCCGUUGGAUGCAAAGAUCAUGGUACAUGUGUAACAUGACCUGGACUGCCCUCAAUUUCGCUCAAUUUCCGAAAAGUGCAAGAGCGAAGAUGCAAAAGAGCAAUAGAUGCAAAGCUCCUCCAUGAUCUUGAUCUUACAUCCGACGGAUGCAAGUGCUCCGGUGAAUGGGAGCCUUUCGGUAUCGUUUUCGCCGCUGCCCUCUCUCCACCGCUUUGGCCUGCUAUUUAUAGACCGAGCGGCAGGGCAGGGCAGUUACGUUCAUCUACGGUGAUCUCGCGCUCUCUCAUUUGAAUUUUGUAUUCGUUCGGCGCUGGCGCCGCGUCAGAAACGCGGUGGAGUCCAUGGGCGACGCCGUGUGGACUAGUCCUCGACCUCUUUUCUUUAUUUUGUUCAAAAUCCAAUCACUAGUUCCUCAAUGUUUCAAGCGAUGCUAGCUGGUGCCGUAAGCCCGUAACUACCUACUGCUACGCAUGACACACCUUUAAUUUUGUUUUAUUAAUUCGGACGGUGCUCUGCGCAGGGAGUUUCCGCUGCCUGGCAUGUGGGUCACAUCUUGGCGAUUAAGCUAAUGUUUAGUAAUUAUCUGCCGGGCGCCGGGCGCCAUGAACGAUCCUGCUGUCUUGGUACAUACACCUCUAUCCGUACAUAUAUACUUUGAUGUAUAUUAUUAAAUUUCACAGCUAAUACCAAAUUAUAUCGGUUUUCUUCAUUAUGGAGCAAUUAUUUUCCCUUAUGAAUUGAUUUCUUCGAAUGGGAUUUAGCCAUCAACUAAUUUUACAUUUUGGGACAGGUCAAAUAAAAUUGGUGUCAGCAUGUAGAAUUGUAGAUUUGCCUUGUUAAAAAAAUCGAAUCCGAGAUUACGCUAUCACGACAUUCCAAACACACAGCAUGCGACGUUUUAAAUCUACUACACACAAAUCACCGUGACCAAAAAAGAAAGAAUAACGGAUGUUGAAACAUUCCAAAAUUGCCGUUGGAACAAGGAAAAAGUACAUGGUGAAACCGUGUAAGGUGUAACCCAACAUAGAAUACAGCUCGAUCCCAACAUGAAAUCCAUUCCAAAAUUAAUAUUGCAAAAUGGAAAUAGAUAUACAGCGCCAACGUACAGUCGAGGCCGCUUCCAUAAUAUGUAGCAACUGCAUCAUAUCGAGCAUGAACAUGCAAAGAGUACGUAGCAUGCAAGAGUACGAACGCGCGCGCCACAGGCAUCACGAGCCGACGUACGCGGUACGCCACCUGUCGUCCUCCCCGCGCGAACUCAAGCUCCAAUCGCAUCUGAACCAUCCGCUUGCUGCACUGCAUCCUGGUCGUUCAGAAGGAAAACCCAGCUGUGAGAAGCGUGCACGGUGACCUAGCUAGACGGCGACAUUCACGGCGUUGACGCUCUUGCUCCGUCCGCACCAUGUGGGACCGUGGGACACGAAGGUGGGGGCCGCGUUCACGUACGUAGAGCACAUCACGCGAUUCACGCUGGGGUCGUUGUUACGUUGCAGCGGCGACUCGCGUGCCGCCACCUCAGCUUCCCGCCGCGGUCAUUGGAGGAGGAAGGUACCGGUAGUCAGUAGAGUUUUAUUUAGGCGCUUUAGUAGUAAAAAGGACUUCUCCACCGAAUUUUUUUUAAACGGGCAACUUUAAAACGGUUCUACCAACGAAAUCGGGGAGAAAUCAUAAAACAGCUUACAAUAAGAGAAGGAGAAAAAAAAGUGGCUUCAUCGGUUUUUCCUCCCUCUCCAAGUAUUAAUUGACCAUAAAAUUACUCAUAUUACCAUUAAGAAACCGUUUUACUAAAUAUUUUUCAAAACAACUUCAACUUCACUAGAAAAAUCACUCCACUAAAGAAGUUGGAGUCACUUUGACAAGAGGUGGAACUCUAUCAAACGGGAUCUUAUUUAUUCUCUUUUCUUUCCUGUGAAGGACCGAAAGAAGGAGCGAUGCCGUAUCCGUUAGACGACGAGAAUUGGGCGGACCGCGGACUCGAUGCACGUCGCCGUUUUGACGUCCACCUGGGAACGACAAUGGCACGGAGGUCUCUGUUUACAGGCCAACCGACAUCCGAAGCAAGCCGAUCCGCAGCCUGCUCUCGCGCGCCUAUUUAAGAAGCCAAGACCGAACUCACCGGCAACUCGUCAACUCGAUCCGUCGCUCGUCGCUCAUCAUCGCGUUCUCAGAAAUAAUCCAAAUCCGUUAGCAACCAAGCUCACUAUUCGAUGGACAAGGCAGAAGCAAGACAGCUCCCCCUCCCCGGUUACUCCUAUGCCAUGGCCACCGUGGCUUGCCAGCAGGCGAAGAAGGCUCCGGCGGAGCGCAAGGGGCCUGCCGCCGCCGGGGCCAGCUGCAACAAGGUGCCUAUGGGAGCCCUCCAGCCGCCUCCUUGGAGACGGAGGGGGCAGAUCAAGAAGAAGAUCGUCAAGGACAUCGUCGCCUCGGUGGCUAGCUUUUGUUCGUCCGACGACCGUGGUCGCGGUUGAGGCUACUAGGCAGGCAUGGCCCGUGCUAUCAUCUAUCCCAAAUUAAAUUUGCUUUGUUUAUGUACAAGGUCCGCAGGUGGCUCGUGUGUGCUCAUGUAGUGUUGUUGUCGAUUGCAGGCAGUGUUGUUGUUUGAUUCUACUGUGUAUGUGUUUGUUUUUUGGAAAGCAGAUUCUAUAUAUGUACUUGCUGUGUAUAAAUCAUAACUGUUAGAGUACAUGGAUGCAUAUAUAUGUAUGUGUGCAUGGUUCUGUCACAUCCGAUUGUUCGUGUCACGAGCUCACGCACGUACGCAUCAACUAGAAGCAUGCGCUUGCGGAAGCCCGUGCGUGCACGAGGAAGGUAGUGGCAGCUGGUCUUCUCCAAUCAAGUAUGGGCCUCGCCCGCAGCCAUGGCGGGCGGCACCGGGGCCAGCAUGUAGUAGAUUCGUCAGCGCGGCUCGUUCCGGCGCGCGCACCGGCCUUCGCGGCCAUAUGAUAUGACUAUACAUACGCGGGGUUAGGUUAGUGCGCGGUAUAGCAGGCAGGGGCCGAGCUCGGGCGGCCAGGCCGCCGCGGACCUCCUCGACUGCCGUAUGCCAGCAGGGCCAUUCGCCUGGGUGACGAGCUACUGCGGCUACGGCUGGCUGCGCGAGAGCUGCAUGGCGGUGGCUUCGAGCCUUCGGCUGGAUGCCGCAUGAGCACACGCAAGCGCGGCAGCAAUUUGGCUCAACCCGGCGCGUGUACGUGCACGCCGACGUCCACCACCGAAUCGGCCACGUCCUCGUCAAUACCUAUAUUCUAAAGGUCCUCGAAUCGGCGCGGCUGAGAAACGCCCUUCUAUCCUGACAUAUAUCUCGUUCAUUUUUUGACUCAAAAUUAAAAAGAACUUUAGUCUCGGAUCAAAUUUCCACCAUCGAUGAUCACCUCCAACAGGCCCUUUAGCCUCAGUUAGUAAUAUCAAUCGGAAUUAAAGGGGAUUCUUUAGUUCCGGUUGUAACGACUAGUAAAGCUUUACUAGAAGCAUAGAGGGAAUCUGGUAGGACGUGCGAAACACAGCACUAUUCUUUGUUCACCCAAAUAAAUAUUUUCUAACAUAUAUUAUCAUCAUUUAGUGUCCUUCCGUGUAUACAAUGUACUACCUGCUGAGCAUAGAAAAAAGACUAAAUUCUGGUCAGUAAUUCACAACCAAACAAUCAGCAUUUUUAAAGAAAUUUAAACAUAGCCUAUCCUGAUAGGUGAGUCCCAUGAGACCACUGCGGUAUAUGCAACCUAACUAGUUCCGUCUAUUGAACGUCCCCACGGACCUCACCGUCGACCAGCUCCGGCCGGAUAACAAACUAACGCCCUACUCACCGCCACGUGUGCGCAGCAGGCUUGCGAGACGGCAGCACGCACACCGACAAGGGACCUCCUACGUGGAUGUACGAUGCCGUUAUUAGAGCAUGGCUAAUAAUUUAGCCGGAUGCUGUUACCAUGGUGGUAGCAGGUUCUGCACAAAAGGUCUGUAUGGAGCAGCAGUGAGCUGAUAAUAUAUUAAUAUAGCCCUUUCAUAUAAUGGGUAAGCUGCUAUGGCUAUUAAAAUGAUUGGAUCGAAGAUUUAGAUAAUUAGGGGAUGUUUGGUUCCUUUGCUUAUUUUUAACACGUAUCACAUCGAAUAUUUAGAUAUUAAUUAGGAGUAUUAAAUGUAGACUAUUUACAAAACUCAUUACACAGACGGAAGCUAAACGACGAGACAAAUCUAUUAAGCCUAAUUAAUCCAUCAUUAGCAAAUGUUUACUGUAGCAAUACAUUGUCAAAUCAUGGAUUAAUUAGGCUUAAUAGAUUCGUCUCGCCAUUUAGCCUCCACUUAUGUAAUGAUUUUGUAAAUAGUUUACAUUUAAUACUCCUAAUUAGUAUCUAAACAUUCCAUACGAUAGGUGCUAAAAAUAAGCCAGAGUAAGCAAACCAGACCUUAAAUGUCUAUUCAUUGGAGGGCUAAAGGCGUACGUUUUCUUCUCGGUUCCUGUGUUGCAGCUGGGCGCCCGCUCCAUCCUCCCUCUCCAAUUCUCUCUCCUCCACCUCACAUUCUGUUGACGUGGAGAGCAUUUCAUCGGCUAAGCAAACAUUACUACACUUCUCUUGCUCCUUCCGUCACGAAAAAAUGUAUUUUCUAGUUAUAUAUCUAGACAAGUGUUUGUCCAGAUACAUGACCACAAAUGCAGUCAUUUUGAGAUGCUAGGUACGUGCAUACGCGAGGCAGAGCCUGUCGGGUGUCAGUAAUUAGAGGCCGAAAGGGGCUACUGACUAUUUUGGAGGACUGAUAGGUCCCAUGCCUUGACAAAUAUUAUUUGCCAUAAUUUAAUCUUUCAAAAUAAGCCAAACGUGUGCAAACAUGUUGGCUAAAAUGUGGAAGUACGUUUUCAUUUUUGCAUACAUGGUCAUUGGUUGUUGCUAUAUAAUUAAUGUUAUCCAAUUUAAAAAAAAAUUGGUUGAACAUUCUCUCAACAUACAAAGGCGGUAGUGUCUUGAGAAAACACUUCUUUUUUAAAAAAUUGAAUAGCAUUAGUUAUAUGGCACCAACUGAUGACUAUGCAUGUAAAAUGGAAUAUACAUUGUAGACAACAUGAUUGUUAAGUUUGUGAACUUCGGAGCGUGUUUAUUAUUUCUUUUAGAAAUGUUAACAGAGGGCAGAUGAUCUGGAUUUUCCAACACUUAAGCAUCACUACCGGAAACAGUAAAUUCCCCGAGUGUAAAACUUUUGCCGAGUGCUUUCUUUCGGGCACUCGACAAACAUCCUUUUUGCCGAGUGUAUUCAACGGGGCACUCGGCAAACAUAUUACACUCGGCAAUAAGGUCGUUUGCCGAGUGCCAUAAAUACGACACUCGGCAAACUGCUCAGUGACACUCGGCAAAAGUCCGACACUCGGUAAAUCAACGGCACGUGCAUCGCACGUGGACCGUCCGUCACCGGACUGGGCCGGCCGUUAGUCCUUUGCCGAGUGUUGGACGCCGACACUCGGCAAAGAGGCCGUUCGCCGAGUGCCACCCGCCCACACUCGGCAAAUCAAGAAGGUCGCCGAGUGCCAAGACACUCGGCAAAUCAAGAGUGUUGUAAUCCAAGACUGUUUGCCGAGGGAAACUUUGCCGAGUAGAGUUUGCCGAGUGUUACACUCGGCAAACCCUUUGCCGAGUGUAUUUGGACCUUCGCCGAGUGCCUGGGGCACUCGGCAAAGUUACUGUUUCCGGUAGUGCAUGUUGAGAAAAAACACUUUGAAUAACAUGUUUGCAGAGUUUCGUGAAUUUUGAAUUACAAUUGUUGUUCGUUUGGAGGGUUGGAGAUUAGGGCAGACAAUUUGGUUUAAUUUCAGGACUAAUGAAAAGAAAAAAACAUCCGAAUCAGUUCCAUGAAAACAUCCAUGGCAUAGUUAACACUUGAAGUUUAGGACCAUAAUAAUUAGAGUUCAUGAACAAAUACACAGCAGGAAGAGAUUGGCAAAACGUAGAACUAUCUAGUCACUUCUUUGAGAUCGCGACCAGUUCAGACUCGCAAAGCUCUAGUAACUUGGGAUGUGCUCAAGUGCUAUCAUUAAUUGUUCCACAUAUCUCUAGUACUGGGAAACUACUCGACAAGGGCACCAUAAAUCUGUGAAAUCUCAUUCGACACGAUCAUAUAGCAAAGUGAUAGCACCGAUGCAUAGAAUACAUACUGAUUGAAUCAUACUUUCUACGAUAAAAGCGCCUACGAUAAUCAGGAUGACACAAAAUUAAAGGAAUCAUAAACCAAUGUAUUUGCAAGAUAUUCUUUAGUUUUCUAACACCGAGGCUCCGCAUGCAGGAAGAAUUUGCACAAGUUUGCUGGCCACACAAAAGGACUUUAUUGUCGUUUUAGAACAGUCCUUAAGAAAAUGAACUUAGUUUGAUGUAUAGCACGAUAGCAACUAUACUAAUUAACGGAUUCAUGGAUGUGACCCAAGGGUGAAACUGAAAGCUAGCCAUGAGGGCCAUUGAGGUCAUCACCAUUAUACGAUGGGUCAAUAAAAUGGGCGAACAGAUUUUAUUUUUUUCAAAAAGAUUCACCAAAUUUACUUGGGUUAAUUGACUAUUGAAUAAGAGCAAUGUAUACUUAGAAAGUUAAGAAUUUUGAAAUGGCAAGACACUAGAGUUGCCAUGCUUCAUGAUAAGUUGGGAAAAUUUUAGAAUUAGAUAUUUUGCACGGUAGGACUUUCUAGAAAAUAGAUAAGGAUGAGGACAACUCUAUAAUUGUAGAAGAGUGUAGAAGGUGGACACAUGACAACACCAUAUGAGCCAGUGGCAAUUCUUUUGAGUAAUAAUAUAUUUAGAAAUCCCCAUCAGUUCCUUGCUGGUACCCUUCGAAAAAUAAUUAUUAUAUUCUUUUGAGUACUAUAUUUAGAAAUCCCUAUCAAUUCCUUAUUGGUACCCUUUUUGAACACAAUUAAUACAUUCCAAAAUAACUUGGAUUCUAACAUCUUUGCCCUUAGCAUGAACCUCCUUUCCUUUUUGGAUCGACUUAACUUAAUUCCAGUAUCUAUUCUAAUAUUCUUUUAUUCUUCUAUUUUCGAUCCAACUAAGAAAAAUAAAAUACAUAGCAGUUCCUAACUAAAAAUGUGAUUUCUAAAGAUUUCCAAUAUACAGGGGAGCACCCUGCCUCGUCGCCAUCCAAGUAGAAGUCAUGCCAAGUAUGAGUUUGGAGAUGGCAUAGGAUAUGCACUAUAGAGAGUUCGAGUGACAUGUCAUUGAAUGACAUGAGUAGAGUAUGCUAGAGUAGCUAUAUAAAAAGUUAAAGAGUUUUGUGUUAUAAUAGGUUAUAGUGAAUAAAGUGAAGCAUAUAGGUGUCAUCUAUAGGUGUCAUCUAUAGGUGUCAUCUAGGCCUUUCGCACCUUUGUUAAGGGUGUAGUUUUGGUGAUAAAUGACAACCAUUUACUUAUGACUAACCCGUUUGUUUUGAAGCAAAUCACUAUUGGAUAUUAUGUCAUGAGUUAAAUGGAAAGUGGCCCCUCAAUUUGAAUUAUCAAGUGGGCAAGGAGCUAUUGCGACAACGACCCCUUGUUGAACUUGUGGAAUGCUUCGGCAUCCGGUGGCCCAGCAUAGCUCGUGACACUAAUCUUUUGCAUCAUCACUUUAAUUUUGUGCCUGUACCGCAUGCUUGGAUGUUCGCUUCUUGUUACCGGAGUCGCCGAGUCAACACAUCCCACCUUGGCCCUUCGUGCCAGCAGCCUGAUGGUCAGGGUCGUCGGCGACCUCUUCCUCGCUAUAGAUUGAGCCUGCAAAUAAUUAUAAAAGAAUGAAAUAAUUAGUAACCUAAAAAUCAAUCUACAUUCCUUGUUGCUCUCCAACACAAUCUGCAUGCCUUCCAAACCAUUGGGCUCUUAAUUUAUUAGUCAUAUAUAGCAUCCACUAAUUUAUUUGUGAUAUAACACACUCCGAUGCCUCACCCUGAACUAGAAACAGCAAAUUAAUUAAUUCCACUUACAUUGAUAUAUAUUCGUAGCUUGGGUGGAUAUCUACAAGAGUUUGGUAUCUUCGUGUCCUCACUCUUUACAUUUCCGCUCUUAUUUUGAGCAUUUAAUUCCUGUAAUUUACUUGUCUUAUUUGCUCUUGAUCAAGUUGUGCUUUGCUUUACUUUGUUUUGCUUGUAUCUUGGCUAGUGUGCUUAGUUUCUAGGUUUGAACCUUGUCAAUUGGGAAAACAUAAAGUGUCGAGUUCCAUAUAAUGUUGGUCUCUUGUGUUGGUGUCAAUUGAAGAUCUCCUUGGAGUAGUGUGGGUACAGAGUUCAGGAAAGAAAGUGAUAUCAAACUAGGUACUAAUGACUCAAGCUACCUAAACCCUUGAUGCAACCCUAUAUAUUUUUGACAGGGAACGAUUUAAUACAACACUAAACAGUAGUAUGACACUAUCGCUAUAAUUGGGUCAUGUUGACUAUGUAGCUAAGUUAGUAGGUGUCGGGACCCUGGGUAUGCAAAUACCCAAGUUCCAGUUGUGCUCACUGUACUCGUCCCAUGAUCAGUCCACAAGUACGCACAACAGCACCAGUAUCACAACUGCACACAAAAUUUGUUAGCAAAAUUAAGAUUUGAUCAGAGCUAAAAUAUAAUAUACACCAGAAGCAAAUAGAAAUACACUGUACUUGUCCCAUGAUCAGUCCGCAAGUAUGCACAACAGCACCAGUAUCACAACUGCACACAAAAUUUGUUAGCAAAAUUAAGAUUUGAUCAGAGCUAAAAUAUAAUCUACACCAGAAGCAAAUAGAAAUAUAGGACUUCCAUCCUACAGUAGUGUGCCUCACCAACCCACAGGCAACUGACUGGGAGUUAGUCCUAGGAAGAACCAACGUCGAAAAACCCAUAUCCUUUGGCAGCGAAAUGAACAGAGACGGCUCUUCUUCAAACUUUGGAUUUUUAAUUUAAGCAACAAGGGUGAGUACAAUUUGUUGGAGGUAUGCCCUAGAGGCAAUCAUAGAGAUGAUGAUAUGUAUCCAUGAUUUGUAUAUUGUGUUCAUUGAAUAUCCAUUAAAGGCUACUUGAAUUGAUUUGCAAUUAUGUGAAUUGUAUGUGAAACUCUUUACUUGUAUGGUUAUUCUAAAGUUGUCCCUAGUCGGAGUUCAUGUGAGGACACACAUGAAUAUUAGACUAGCACAUGUAUUAGUUGAUGACUAUGUUUCACAAGUCAUGGACAUGGAGAUGUUGAACUAAUAGUGUGGACACAUGUGGAGACAUGUGCUAGGACUGACCCAACACGAGAAGUAGUUCUCUCUUUAAACAACAUAUACGCUUUGUCCUUAGACCUGAGAUUGUCGCAUGUAUUCUAGAUGUGGAUCGACCUACUUAGGGGCUAUCAAACGCUACGCCGUAACAGGGUAGUUAUAAAGGUAGCUUUCGGGUUUGUCAAGAAGCAUGCUAUGAGACAUGGUCAAUCAAGAUGGGAUUUGCCCCUCUCUGAUUGAGAGUGAUAUCUCUGGGCCCCUCGAGUGAUCGGAUCCGAAAAUGCAUGGUCAUGCUACGUACGGUUAAGAGUUGACCUACAAAGGGAUUCCGAAUCACAGGAUCGAGAAAGAGCGGUCGGCUUGAAGCUAGACCAAAUAUCGUGAGGCAAAAGGAAUAGCAUGUAUAUUAUGUUGUGAUGGUUCGUCUGAUAUGAUCUUCGUGUGCGUAUAGGAGUUGGCACGUCUUGCUAGAGGCCGCUACCGACUAUUGGGCCGAGUAGGAUUACUCGGGCCAUGUCUAUACGUAACCGAACCCAUAGGGUCACACACUUAAGGGGCUGGAAGCCCAAUUCGGAUCUGAUCCGAGUUGGAUUAGGUUUAGAAGUACUAAUGGGCCUCGGACCCAGAGGCCCGUCAGGAACCUCUAUAAAUAGAGGGGUGGGGGCGCCCUAGGGUUUACACCUUUUUGGCGAAACACACCUGCCGCGCCUCCCACGCCCUCGCCUGUUGCAACUCGCGGAUCUAACAGUCCGGCUUGCGACGCUUCCUCCCUGCACGUGUGGAUACAUUGGAGGUGUUGCGCCUGCAGCACUUGGACGAGCCGCCGACGAGCCACGACGAGCCGACGACGAGCCGCGGCACGGGAGGCGAUCUUGCUGCACGUGGACGAGCUGCUGGACGUUGAUGUGAUCGACUACGUACGACUACGUGAUUGUCUUCACUGCAUCGACGCAUAUCUACAUCUUCCGCACCAGUAGUGCGUCGAGUGGUAAUCCCGUGAUCCUUAUACGGCAGUUCUUCCUGGUUUUACGCGGUAGAAAUUUUGAUUUGCGCUAGUGUAGCCUACCUCGUAUCCCAACACAAUUUUGUACUCGCAAGACUUCGAGUGUAUAGAAAAAAUCCUAUUAAAUAUGCAAGGUAAUCAAGGAGGGCUGACAAGUCAUUUUACGCAUAUUUUAUAAAUUAGUUUGAUAUGUUUAAAAUAGACUAACAUUACCAAUCAUGACCCACCAUUUCCCAUACCACGUUGGGUCCAUAGACCAACUAUAUCGGUCCAAAACAUUUGAAUGAUACCAUUCAAGCCCAUUCCUGGUUUUCAAAACAAAGCUCUAUAACCGGCGACCAGUCCAAGUUGCUCAUGACCAUGAGCACGGCUAUUCGAAUAGUUUUUAACACUUUGCAGAGUUUGUACACUUUACCCACACGACAUGCUCCACUUUGAUGCCUUCGCGAAUUGACACAUUUCUGAGAUGUGCCGGCAAGCGAGCAUGACAAAGCUGUUACAUCAGUCGGAUCCAACAUAAUGCUACACGACAAACUAUAGGAGCGCCUCCGUACAUCUACCCGGGUUAGCUACCUCAACAUUGACAAAUCAUCUCAUGCACUCGGGUGGUAACAUCACCUCGGGGCCAACUGACUUAGUAAGCUAAGGAGGUACACAUUAAGCACAUGUGGUUGUACUAUAACACUUCGACUAGAAGAUGCUAAUUUUCGAUCCUUAAUUUGACACUGUGAGAAUCCCUAAAAUGCGCUGGAAACGCAUAUAGGACCAAGUCAUAUCCACCAUUGAUUUUAUCAUCCAUCUUUCUUUAUCCUCGUAUCAUCAUGACCUCUAGACCACAUUAUCACCCGCGUCUACCAUAGAGUUUUUACUUUUAGUAAAUCAUCCCUCCCAAGUGAUGCUAUUUAAGCAACCACAUAUAUAUGCUAAGCCAAAGCAUAUGACACCGAACUGAACGAAUAACCCAUAACCUUAUGGCAACAAGGUAUAAAAGGUUUAAAAUAACAAGGCAGGUAUAUGGAUUAAAGUAGGACGUGUCUACCCGACAAAAAAUGACAUUUAGACUCAUAUAAUCAUCAUCGCAUGCAUAUAAAUCACAGGCUUAGGCAUUUAAAUAGGAGCAAAGAUGAUCAAGGGGGUUCUAGCCUUGUUGCUAAUCAUUCAUGUUCUCGAGUAUUAGCUCAAAGUCUCGCUCGGUGUCUGGCGCAGCUACGAGUGUCUUGUCGUGUACUCGAAUCAAAUGAACGAAAGCACAUGCAAAAGAGCCAAAUAAACAACAAUGAACAACCAAAUAAACACCAUAAGAUGAUAGAGCAUGAUUUUAGAAAAUUUUAGGAAAAAGAGUCACUCGAUUUGGAGUUAAAAUGAGGAAGUUAUGCGUGUUUGAAGUUUUAAAUCCAGAUUAAUAGAUGAAAACUACUAUAAACACAUUAAUUCACAAAUGGCAUGUAAUUCAUUCAGAAAAACAUGGAUAAAAUUUUUAAGAGUUUCUAUACAUAAAAACUAGUCUUAAAGAAGCGGUUUAAUCAUUCUAUUAUUUUUCUACUAAUUACUAUGCAAUUAGUCAGAUUUAGCCGGCAAACAAAAGAUAGUUUGAAAACAGUAUAAAAACUACUUAUUUCACCUAUUCAAGUUAUAGAUCUGAAGCAUACACAGAAUAUGGAAGCUAACAAAAUUGGUUUCAUAAUUUUUGGAGCAACUUACAAUUUAUUAGGCAUUAAACAAGUCUAGUACACGAUAAAUUAUAGAACCAAAACAACAACAAUGACAUGCUCAAAGUCAUUUUUAUAUGAAACUUCACCUCACCAGAACAGUAACAAAAUUUAGUUUGUAUUUUUAUCAUUUUUCUAUGAUUUUAUAUACAUUUCUAAAGAUCACAGCCGAAACAAAAGAUCAAGAACAAACUGUUGACACCAAAACCCUGUGUUGACACCGGAUUUUGACCAAUCCUAUAAAUUCGGAGUACAAGAUAAUUGGAGUCACGUACAGCAAUAAGAAGCUAGCAUGCGUGCACAUGGGCACAGAGUCCAAAUCGGCUUCAUUGGAUUGAUCGGCAAGAAGAGGCAAGGAUGAUAUAAAAGAAAGGCCAGCACGUAUGGAUAAAAAUGAUUAGAAUUUACAACAUGGAUUCUGGUGCACUUUGCAUGCCAUGCGUGGGAGGCUUCCAGAAUAAUUAUACAUGCGGCCGAUCUAUGCAUGUACGGGAGGUUGUUUCAUAGAAUAAAAUAUUUUAGAGAUAGAGUUGAGUUAGUUAGAGAUAGAGUUUUUUAUUAGAAAAGAUUGUGCACGUGACUUGCCUUGUGCGUGGUUAGAUGCCAAUUAUGUAACGUCCGCCCUAUAAAUAUAAAGGGACGUGGCCAUUGUAAAUCAUCAUCAGACGAUCAAUAUACAACACAUUUAUCUUUUAUUUACCUUUUCGGCUUCACGCCAUUGCAUUAGUAGUAGGAGUAAUGUAGCUUCUCGACGAGUUCCUUCUAGGAAGCUGGGCUGCAUCGACCUCGAUCUCCGGCGAGCUGCAAAGUUCCGUCACCAGGUGUUCUAGGCUUUAACCACCGGGCGCAUCGCUGUGGUUUCGUCUAGUUUCAUCUACCAGUUAUCGAAUAUCUUGGAUCUUCGACUUACGGCGCAUCGCUUCUGUCUUGAUCUACAGUAUUCACCAGUUAUCCAGCCUUGAUUAAGUUUGCAUCGGCUGAUAUUUAUCUGUUCUAUCGUCUUGCCGUUCAGUUUGCUUUAAUUAGCUUUAGAUCGGUUCAUUAUAGAUGACAGAUCGCUUAAUAGUCUGUUGCAUCUUAAUCUUGGUUACCCCUUCGAGUGCUGUUGGGAUUAAGUUUCGUUAUGAUUGGAUUCAUCGGCUGGUGGGGUUCAGAUUAACAUCCUGCUAAAUACUUCUAGACUGCAACUACCGGACGCAUCGCUGUGGUUUCAUCUAGAGAUAUUGGUGGAGAGUUUAGUUUAGAUCUCAUCGGUUUGUGGCUCUAGCUAUGGUGGAGCGGCAGCUCAAUAGCAUCCUGUUUUCUAUCGACCGCCUGGCCGAUGGUUAUUGUAAAUUAUAUUAAAUCGGCUGGAUGGCCGAUGAAUCACUCACAUUCAUCAAGGCACUGGAAUCGGCUUCACAGCUAAUAUAUUUGUCAUGAUUUAUUUUGUUGCACCAUUAUUGCUACUGUGCCAAGAUUAUAUCGGCCUGAUCGGCCGGUUGCCUCGGACUUCACAACGACUAUCAUCUCCUUGCCAGUUGAAUGGUCAAACUGACUGGCACGCCCGUGUACACCAUGCGCGCCAAUUUGGAUUCUGCACUGGAGUUAAGCAGAUCUCCCAGGUCCUCAUGUGCUGAUGCAGGGUCCACCACCGUCGGGAUUUUGCGUCAACACAAACUAACUUCGCAUCGAGGCCCUUAGAAACUUUCUUUCUUAACAGAUAUAUCCUUUCCUUCACAAAUCAAUCCUCAUUUCUUGCACUUAAGACCCUGGAUAAACUUUAACUAAUCACAUAAACCCUGAUCUUUUACCCAUAACCCCCGACAGCUUCUUUCUUUCUCGCGAAACCGCCCCUCCCCUCUCCUUCUUCCUCCAAACCGCCCGCGCCCCACAGCGAACGCCAGAGCGCGGUGGCCUCAACUUCCACCCCAAAAACUACCCCAGGACAGUCUCUAGGAUCUAUCUCACCUUCUUCCCUACUCUUCUCCCCGAAACCCUAGCUGCAUCCUACCCCAUGGCUAACGGCGUCACUCCGACGAUGGCGUACUCGGGAACAAGCGUGGCAACAGGGCUAAAAUAGCAAAAGGGAGCGAGCAUGAGGGCCAGGGGCUCACCUUGGCUCGGUUUGAGCGGUUGGUUGGCGAAGAGGAGGGCCGGAGGGUAGGGUUCGACGGUGAGAUGGAGCUCGGGCCAUGGCGGCCACGGGAUUUGAAAUCCUGGGCACCCUGGCUGCCACGGCGUGAAGGGGGUUGGGUCAUGGAGGGAGCUGGGGAGGUGAGGGAGUUCCGGUGGCGGCGAUUUGGAAGUGGCGGCCGGAGGUGUGAGGAUUUUGGUGGCGGGUUGGAGAGCUCACUUGGUUCCUUGGCUCAGGCAGAGGAAGAAGAUGGAUAGAAAGAGAGGGAGAUAGAGCAAGGAGGCAUGCUGCUUGCUGCUGUGCUGCUUUGGUGAAGUAGAAGAGCAGUGGGGAGAGAAUGGGCUACUGCUAGCUGUGCUACUUGCGCUGCCGACAAAGAGAGAAGUGUUAGAUUGAUCUCCUCUCAAUGGGCCCAACAGCCCAUUGAGCCCUUGACUCGUGCCCUAAUCGGGGGCGCCCACCCUAGCAUUGGGUGGUAGGCCCAUAUCACCUGCGCUAUAAAAAGAGGAGUGGGGGCCAGGGCACACAGUACGAGGUUCACCGCACCACCAUCCACCCCAUCGACAAAACCCUAGACCGACCGAUCACGGGGGCGCAGCGAUGACGGGAAGCACCACCACCGCUACGCCGGCGACACGACACGGGACUGCACGUCGCUGCCUAGCGCAGAGCUCCACCGACCGAACCACGGCACUGCGCGUCGCUACCUAGUGCAGAUCUUCACCGACAGAACCAGCGAUAGCCAGCGGCUCUGCCGCUUCCACCCCUAGGGGUGAAGGUACCCCAUCUAUCUCUCUCUCUCUCUCUCUCUCUCUCUCUCUCGGUUAACACUGAAACCCCAUGAACUCAAUGUUUACCCAUAAUCCUGACUAGUUCUACAUCUAGAGAUCCUAGGUUUAAUCCUAACAAUAGUAUCAGUCGCCUAUCUGGAAGUAGAUCUUAGAUCGGGAAGAAGAUGAAAAAUCGAAAAGAAAAGGGAAAAGUAAAACCCUAACCCUAACCCUAGAUCUAAAGAAAAGACGGACGCGGAGAGGGUUACCUGCCGCCGUCCUCACCACCGCACGUCCACCGACGGCGAGCAGAAAAGGCCGGCCGAGCCACGGGCUCACUGGAAAAGACCAGCCGAGCCGCGCACUCGCCGAGCAGCGCGACCGCCGCGCGUGGGCGCAAUAGCACCACCGCAGGAUCGCUCGACGGCGGCGGGCUCACCCUCGGGUGAAUGCGCGCGCCGGCGAGGGGACCCGCGGCAGAGCUGACCCUCCUCCACGGCCGCCAUGGCUAUCUCACUGGAUCUCGUUGAGGCUCGGAGGGAGAGGGGGAGGGGAAAGCAAGAAAGAAGAGAGGGGGGAGGUACCGCGGCCAUGCGCCAGCGGGGCCAUCCCUCAACCACUGGCGGCGGACCCCACCGGGCACAAAAGAGAUGACCCCGCCGUCGCCGCCACGGUGUGAGUUCACGGGGGAGGGACACGAAAAUGGCUAGGGUUCGGGAGGCGCCGGAGCAAACGGCGGUUUUGAUCCGCCGAUAACACCGUGCAGCCGUCCAAUCAGACGGACGGACGAGAUUGUCCGAGCUAGAUAAGGCCCAGGCGGGAGGAGGUGCCAGGCCGCUUCGGUGGCCCAAGCCCAAGUUGUGGCCUGCGAGCGAACGAGCCAAGCCUCUAUGCCGACAUGGGCCGGAGCGCAUAGCGGCUGCUAGGCCAAAGGCCAACAGGCCGAGCUCAAUAGCGGGCUGGGCGAGUCAACCAGAGCACGGGCAGUGCGCAGGACAGGCCGUUUGGGCUGGUUUUUUGCUGUUGGGCUGAAAAGAUGAAAAAUGCACAGUAAUGUUUCAUGAAUUUGAUUUUUCUAUGUUCAGAGGAAUUUUUUGAUGAAUUUUGUAUAGUUUUUUACCUCUAUCCAAAUUUGAACCAACGGGAUAAUUUGUCAUAGAGAUGAAUAAAUUUUUUUUAAGUAUUUUUGCCUCUGAAAAUAGAAUUAUUUGAAAGUUUCCGUUGCAAAAUGUCUAAAGUGUUGCUCUUUAAAUUUAAUUUGAACCAACGAAACAAUUAAAUUUUAGAGCAUGCUAAAGUUAAUUUUUUCUUAGAGAUUGAUUAUGAUCCUGUUAUUUUCUAACCAACGUUGUUAAUAACUGUAUCAUGAUUAAAAAGAUUACAUGCUUUUAUUUCUAUUUCUGCCCAACGGUGAUGUAGCUUUAAAUUGCAUAAACACUUGCAUAUUUUAUUUUUUGACCAAAACUAGAAAUAAAUCAUGCAAUUGUUGUAAUGAUCUCACCUUGAAUUGUAACUUUCAGGAGGAUUCAACUUAAUGGCUUGUCUCAAAGAGAUACCUACUCUGAGAGGAGACAACCACACACAAUGGAGGAAAAGGAUUGAUCUUGCCUUUGUUUGUGGAGAGGUUGACUGGGUGGUUAGCAUACCACAGCCAAAACCUCCAGAACCACCAGUGAGGGUUGAAAGUGAUACUGAUGCUGCAUGGCAGGAAAAGGUGAGGGAUUAUGCUCCUCUAGAGUUGGCAUAUACUCUCGAAAACAAACAGUGGACCACUGCCAACAAAACGUGUAUGGCCUUGGUAAAGAACACGAUUGAGCCUGCCAUUUUGGGCUCGAUCACAGAGUGUGUCUUCGUUGUAGAGUACCUUGACAAAAUAAAGAAUCAGUUUACUAGUUCUUCAAAGACAUUUGCUACCCAGUUGUUUAAUCAGCUGGCCACAGAAAGGUACUCUGGAGGAGGAACUGGCAUAAGAAAGCACAUCCUCAGGAUGUACAAUCUGGCAGCAGUUGAAGCCAAUGGAUCUUGAGCUCAAACCUGGGCACAUUAUUCAUCUGGUUUUUGCUUCCCUACCAAAAGAAUUUGAUACUUUUGUUGUUAACUACAACAUGCAACCAGAAUAGUGGGAUAUGGAAAAGAUGAUAGCCAUGUGCGUGCAGGAAGAGGACAGAAUCAGAUCUUCACAUGGUGGUUCUUUGCACUAUGUGAAGGAUAACAAGAAAAAGAAUACACAUGCUAGCUCCUCUUCCAAGUCACGUGGAAAGGCUCCCAUGCAGCAACAACAUCAAAAGCCCUUCACAAUUGACAAAGAUCAGUGCCUCCACUGCAAGAAACGGGGGCAUUACAAGAAAGAUUGCCUCAAUUGGUUGAAGUCCAUAAUGGCAAAGAAAGGUGAGAAUAUUAUCUCAUUUAUAAAUGAAUCCUUGUAUACGCAGUAUUCGAAAUCUACUUGGUGGAUUGACUCAGGUGCAACUGUUCAUGUUGCAAAUCCUUUACAGGGAUUUCCGUUCGACGAGGACUACGCAAAAAAGCGAAAGACGCAUUGAAGUUGCAAAUGGAGUCCAAGCAGAUGUUGAAGCUGUUGGCGAUGUCUCUCUAGAGCUAGUUGAUGGUUUCACACUUCUGCUUAAAGAUGUUCUUUAUGUUCCUUCAUUACACAGAAACUUGAUUAGUAUUUCAUGUUUGGGUAAAGAUGGUUAUGAAUGUAAUUUUGAACAUUGCAAGUGUGCCAUUUGGUUUGAUAAUGCAUGUGUUGGCGUCGCUACCCUUCACAAUGAGCUUUAUUUAUUAUCGCUGCGUGAAAAAGUAAAUUUUGUGCGUGAUGUGAAUCAGAAUGUAUCCUUGCCAAAGAAAGAGACAAACAAAAGAAAGAGAACUCAUGAUAUAUCAUCGAAAUUAUGGCACUAUCGCUUAGGCCAUAUUUCAAGGGGAAGAAUAGAAAGACUAGUUAAGAAUGAAAUUCUUCCUCAACUAGAGUUCUCAGACUUAGAACAAUGCGUAGAUUGCAUUAAAGGAAAGUAUGUAAAGCAAAUUAAAAAGGCACAAAACGUAGCACAAGAGUUUUAGAGAUAAUCCACACUGAUAUUUGUGGACCAUUUCCUGUGAAAAGCGUGGAUGGCUAUGACUCAUUCAUAACAUUCACAGACGAUUACUCUCGUUAUGGUUACAUUUAUCCAAUUAAAGAAAGAUCGGAAGCGUUGGAUAAAUUUAAGAUAUUUAAAGCUGAAGUUGAAAAUCAGCAUGACAAAAUAAUUAAAAUAGUAAAUCCGACCGUGGGGGGAGUAAUAUGGUCGGCAUACCCCAUUUGGCCAAGUUCCUGGACCUUUUGCAAGGUUCUUGCACGAAAAGGGUGUAGUAACCCAGUAUUCGAUGCCGGGCGAGCCUCAGCAAAAUGGAGUAGCUGAAAGGUGUAACCGUACACUGAUGGAUAUGGUGCGCAACAUGAUGAGUUAUUCCACUUUGCCAUUGGGAUUGUGGAUGGAGGCAUUAAAAACUGCCAUUUACAUUCUCAAUAGAGUACCAAGUCGGUGCCCAAAACACCGUAUGAACUCUGGACAGGAAGAGUACCCUCACUAAACCACCUGCGUGUGUGGGGGAGCCCAGCUGAGGCCAAAGUAUUUAACCCAAACAUUGGGAAGCUAGAUCCCAAAACAGUAAGCUGCCACUUCACUGGCUAUCCUGAAAAAUCAAAAGGUUUUCAUUUCUACUGCCCAGACAGAUAUACAAAAUUUAUAGAAAUGAGACACGCUAUUUUCUUAGAGGAUGAAUUGAUGAGGGGGAGCAUGGUAGCUCGAGAGAUUGAUCUUGAGGAGAAGCAGGUGUGUGCACCCACUCCGAUGAUUCAGGAGCCAUUUUUCUCACUACCUGUUGUUCCUGCACCGACAGUUCCUGAGAUUGCGGUGCAAGCACCUGCUGUGAUUCCACCCAUGGAAACGAUGAGUGAAAUUUUGGAACCUGUCCUUCAGGAGCCAAUUGAACCCAUUGUUGCACAUGAGGAAGAGUUGCAGCAGCCACCUCAAGGUGAUGUGCCACAAGCUGAGGUACAGAAUGUGCCCACAAAUGAGGGGCCUAGAAGGUCUCAAAGAGUUAGAAGAUCACCUAUUCCUAGCGAUUAUAAAGUUUAUAAUAUAGAAGAAGUUCAUAUGGAAGGUGAUCCCAUUUCAUAUGAAGAAGUCGUGAGAAGCGCUCACUCAUCAAAGUGGCUAGAGGUCAUGGAAGAUGAGAUGAAAUUGAUGAGUUCCAACGAAGUUUGGGAACUUGAAGAAAUUCCUAAAGGAGCCAAAACAGUAGGCUGUAAAUAGGUCUACAAGACUAAAUGUGACUCCAAAGGGAAUAUAGAAAGGUUUAAGGUGCGACUUGUGGCAAAAGGCUUUACACAAAACUUUCUCACCUGUCUCAUGUAAAGAUUCCUUCAGAAUCAUAAUGGUAUUAGCAGCACAUUUUGAUUUAGAAUUACAUCAGAUGGAUGUAAAGAUGGCAUUUCUAAAUGGGGAUUUAGAAGAAAAUGUCUACAUGAAACAACCCAAGGGUUUUAUUAUGGAAGGAUAAGAGAAUAUGGGAUGUCGUCUAAAGAAAUUCAUUUAUGGAUUAAAGCAAGCCUCUAGACAGUGGUAUCUAAAGUUUAAUGAUACGAUUAAGAAAUUUGGGUUUCAAGAGAACAUAGAGGACAAUUGCGUCUAUGCGAAGUUCAAAAAUGGGAAAUACAUUUUCCUAAUUCUGUAUGUGGAUGAUAUCUUGCUUGCGAGCAGUGAUAUCAGUCUACUACCAGAGACAAAGAAGUUUUUGUCCUCAAACUUCGAUAUGAAAGAUCUCGGUGAAGCAUCAUAUGUUUUGGGCAUAGAAAUUCACCGAGAUAGAAGGAAUGGGGUUUUAGGAUUAUCGCAAAAGGCAUAUUUAGAAAAGAUUCUAAAGAAGUAUAAUAUGCAUGCGAGUAAAGCCACACCUGCUCCUAUAGUCAAGGGCGACAGUUUUGGGAAUUUCCAAUGUCCCAGGAACCAAUACGAGCUCGAACAAAUGAAAGUGGUUCCAUAUGCUUCAGCUGUCGGAAGCCUACAGUAUGCUCAAGUAUGCACUCGCCCUGACUUAGCUUUUGUCACCGGGGUACUUGGAAGAUAUCAAAGUAAUCCAAGUAUAGAGCACUGGAAGAUGGUGAAGAAAGCAUUGUGUUACGCACAAGGCACAAAAGACCUCAUGCUUACGUAUAGAAGAUCUGAUUCCCUAGAGAUAAAAGUAUAUUCAGAUGCAGACUUUGCAGGAGACAGAGAUGAUAGAAAAUCCACAUCUGGUUACGUGUUAACUCUCACAGGAGAAGCUAUUUCGUGGAGAAGCUCCAAACAGAAAGUAACUGUGUCAUCUACGAUGCAUGCAGAGUUUAUAGCAUGUCAUGAGGCUACAAGGCAGGCGAUGUGGUUAAAGAAAUUUAUACCCGGAUUGAGAGUGGUUGAUUGUAUUCACAGACCACUAAAGAUGUACUGCGAUAAUGAGCCAGCAGUAUUCUAUGCUCACAACAAUAAAUCAAGCAAUGCUUUCAAAACCAUUGAAAUAAAGUUUUAUGUUGUGAAAGAUAAAAUCCAGGAUCGCACUAUAAGUCUCGAGCAUAUAAGAACAAAGAGCAUGCUUGCGGAUCCGCCUACGAAAGGCUUACCACCCAAUGUGUUCAGAGAACACUUAGCUAGCAUGGGUUUAAGGGAAAGCCUAUGAUUCCGGGAUUAUAAAGGGCCCAAAAGAAAUAGAAUUAUUUCAAAAUAGAGAGGUGUGUCGUAGCUGUUGAUUUCAUCGGCGAUUGAGCUGUGAUGAUGAGGCAUGCUCUACACAUUAAUCUAUGAUGGAACGAAUAAAACGAAAAGUAUAAGGUUAAAAGUAUAUGAUGAGAUCAAGGGGGAGCAUGUUAGAUUGAUCUCCUCUCUAAUGGGCCCAACAGCCCAUUGAGCCCUUGACUCGCGCCCUGAUCGGGGGCGCCCACCCUAGCAUUGGGUGGUGGGCCCCUGCCACCUGCACUAUAAAAAUAGAGGUGGGGGCCGGGGCGCACGGUACAAGGUUCACUGCGCCGCCAUCCACCACACCGACAAAACCCUAGACCGACCGAUCACGGGGGCGCAGCAGUGAUAGGAAGCACCACCACCGCUAUGCCAACAACACGACACGGGACUGCGCGUCGCUACCUAGCGCAGAGCUCCACCGACCGAACCACGGCACUGCGCGUCGCUGCCUAGUGUAGAUCUUCACCGACAGAACUAGCGAUGGCUAGCGGCUCUGCCGCUUCCACCCCUAGGGGUGAAGGUACCCCAUCUCUCUCUCUCUCGGUUAACACUGGAACCCCAUGAACUCAAUGUUUACCCGUAAUCCCGACUAGUUCUACAUCUAGAGAUCCUAGGUUUAAUGCUAAGAAGAGCUAAGAGAUGACGUAGGUGGCGUGCUUCGCGUGCGCGUGCUGUGCGUGCGUGAGUUGGGGCUCACAGGGCUUGGCGCACAGGGGCAGCGAGGAUGGGUGGAGCUGUUGCGCGGGGGUGACAAGGUGGGCGGAGCAGCGGCGGCCGAAGACGUUGGCGCGAUCGUACGCCGGUGGCGUGGGAAGGAAGCAGCGGGCGGUGCGGAAGAGAUGGGGAAGACGGCGUCGGUGCUGCUGACGCACAGGCCCGGGCGACCAGAUGAGGUGGGCGGAGGAGAAGGCCGUUGAACCGUCGCGGGCCGGCCCAAGGGGAAAAAGAAAGGUCAUCGGCCUGAGCGGGAAGGAGAAGGAAGAAAUGGGCCGGCUCUGAUUCGGCCUAGGUAGAGUUGAUUCGGCCUAGGUAGAGUUUAGGAAUUUGAAAAAGAUUUCUCUUUUGUUUAUUUCGUGGAAUUCAAACUAGAUUUUGAAUCCAAAGCAAACUUGUCCCACAAUUUCUGAGAAAUUCACCAAAAAUGAUUUAGUGUCUCGGAACUCUUGUAUAGAAGUUUGAAGAUUUAUUGACUAGUAUUUUAGCACAAUAUUUUCUUGCUUUAUUUAAGUCAUUUCAUUUUUUUUAAAUGCAUCUUUUGCAAGAUAAAACCAAGAACUCAAACCAAAAUUUUUAUUCAAUCAUUUUAGGUCAAUUUUUGAUAUAUUUUUUUGUAAUACCAUUUUCUUUCAUGACCUUUUAAAUAUGCUCAAGCCUCAGGGUUAUUAAUGCAUAAAACAUGAGAAGAACCAAAUAAAAGCCAAGGCAAGUUUUAUUUAUUUAUUUAUCUUGAUUUUAUUUCUGUUUGAAUUUUGGGCUGUUACAGUAGGUAUCAUCACCCGAUAUCCUGAUCCUAUGGUUUAAUCUAACAAAGGGUCAAUCACAGAAAUUAAUGAUACACAAAAUAGUACAAAUUUUGUAAAGCAAAACUCCGAUCCAUACCAAUCUGCAAGUUUAUUUUAGGAUAAACAUUUAAGGAUGGUCAAGUAUUAUUUGUCGCAUUUUGUAAGUAAUUAGAUAACACAGGAUAUGAAUCAUCACCAAGGAGAAAAAAAUGAUAUGCAGGUAGAAUAGAUCCAAUAGUCAAAGAGUGGCCGCUGCUAUAGAAUGAAACAAACAAAUAGCUAGAAAAUACACCUUAAAUAGCACCUGCUCUAUCCGAUGCCCCAGAAUCGAUAUGAAUUGCGCGUGAGGCACGUUUCCGUUCGCACAAUGUGCUUGACGUGAUCCCAGCAACUAACGUACCCCUAAACCCUAGCUUGUUCGGUUAAUCCAAUAUCCAUGGUGAUUGAAAGGGAUCGUAUAGCAGAUUAAAUCCCAGACCCAUGGGGUGUGGAAUUAACCCCUCCCAACCCCUUCCAAUUUCCAUGGAGAAGGGAUUAACCAAACACAAUAGCAAACCCAAAUUGCAACCGAAUGCUACGGCAAACCCUAAUCGCAGCAAAUCGCCAAUGCAAUUCGUCCCUAAACGAAUCAUCAGACAAAUUGCGCCAACAGAUUGCAACAGAAUCUCGAACACGGAAACCCCAAGUUGCAAACCCAAUUCAUCACCACACGAAAAAAAUUAGAGAGAACAUUGAACAUAGAAACCUGGUAAACUCACCAUGCCACUAGAAAGCUUGGCCCCUCCAGUAGCAUUGCCAGCAGUGCCUGGAUCCCUGCCGCCAGUGGAGCCCCUCACCCUCCCGACCGACUUCUCGAUGAACUUUGCAUUAGGGCCUUUCAUCCCCUUGAUGAUGGUCGGGUUGAGCACGGCCGCGUGGGGGUUAGGGAUGGAAUUGGGGAGGUUGGAAGGUUAGGAGGAGGAGGAGGAGGCUGGAGGAGAAACGCGUCGCGAAACUGCAACGACAAUGCAAGGGGGAUGGGGUUGGGGUCAAGGCCUCAAGGGGAUGGGAACUUGGGGCAAGUGGAAGGGGAUAGAGAGUCCGAGAGGGAAAUUUUUAUCUGACUGCAACUGUUUGAGCAUUGAAAUAAUGUAGAUCAUAUAUGCCUAGACACCACGGGUGCAUUGAAAUAAUGUGGACCCUGUAUGUCUAGACACCACGGGUUAGUAACUUCUGUACGCCAUAGAAUUUGCGUACUCGAGGGUUGACAGCGCCUGGAUCUGGUCUACAAUAAUUCAUUUUAUAGCACAUUACUCAAAGCUUACACCCUCUCUCACAUUAAUAAAGCAUAGAGUCAGGUUCGUCGGUGAUAAUUCCAGCAUCGGCACGUCCGCACGAAGCAAAAGCAUCUUGCCGCACUGUUUGCCUAUCACCUUGCGUUCUUGCCUGCCCUUCGGUUCUGGUUGUAUAGGUAAAGCAGCGUCACUUGUUGCCUGGGAGUGUUCUAUAGAAUAAUAUUUGAACCAAAAUCGUUGUAGAACAAUUCAUUUGCUGCAUUAGCACUAGCUUGCGAUCCAAGAGGUUAGUUAAACCGCUACUGGCCGGUACUCCUACGUGGAAAGUAAUAACACCACGGAUCGACCGUGUCAGUCGAUCGGGUCUCCCUGGAGCUAGCGCCGCAGUCGCCGUCCGUGCGCCGCACGGGUGCCUCCGUCCUGUCCGCUCGCAACAUGAACCGAAUACUUGGCGCGCGCGGCUGCCGCCGCUUGCGUGCCCACACGCAUCCCUUCGCGCGCACCAGUGCGCCACUUUAAUUUGGAGAUGACGUGCGGCAGUGGCUCGCACGGCUAGCGCUGACAUCAUCCUGGUGAGGUCACGCGAACGACGCAAGCACGCACGUACGCUGCGCCAGAUGCUCGAGACGGUUCCUGGUCGAUCCAGAAGCUAAUCCUAUCCAACGCACCCAGACCUGCACGUAUCUUACUUAGAUAAUCCUUAGCCAAGAAGGAAUGCAGGUGUGUGUACGCCACCGUUCUCGGGCUGCCGGCAGCUUGUACUCCUUUGUCCUAAAUUUCUAUUUAUUUUAACUUUUCUAAAUAUAUAUUAUGUCAUACUGUGUAUCUAAGAAAAAGUUAAAAUAAAUAGUAAUUUGGGAUGAAGGGAGUAUUAGAUAGAGAGCGAGAGCUAUCGCUGAGCGGAACAGGCAUGUCUCAUGCUUAUCCCCAACUCGAUUCGAUCGAUCGAUACCUGCGCGAGUACAUUACAAGAAUGGAAGAUGGUGUGCAAAUGCACUUUCCACGUUCCCAUUGCUUUUACGCCCUCUUGCUACUCCUAAGUCCUAACUUGACAAUUUGUCAAGAGCACGUACAAAGAGAGUCCUCAAGCCAUGAUCAACAUAAACAUCCUACAUGUACAUGUGUGUAUGUGUGUGUAUAUAUAUAUAAAUGAGGAAAGAGAGCCUUGCUGUCGUCUCGUGAGACGAUGGCCCCAGCCCGUGCUCCGAAAUCAUACCGCCGACUGUUCUCCCAUUGUACACGUCGUCGACAACUAGUUCCUGAUCGAGUACGGCGCACGCGUGAUGCUCCGUCCCAGACUUCCAGUUCUCUCUUCUAUCUUCCCAAACUUCUUCGAUCCCUCAAAACUUCCGUUCAUGGCAGCCAUGGUCACCCACCUCCACUUCCUUACCUCCCGGACCAAGCAAAAUGGAUUACGCUCCUUCUGUUCUCUCUCCCUGUGCAGACAGGUUGUUUAAACUGUUGAACAUGUUUGCAGGAGCAGGACUAGCAGCAGCAUCAGCCAUCAAUGCCGUCGUCUCUACUAGUACGAGCAAUGCUGCACUACCACUCAGUGGCGGAGGGAGGGGGGGCAGGGGGGGCCUGGCACCCCCUGACCCUGUCGGGCACCACCCAUCAGGAGUGGACCUGGCACCCCCUGUGGCCUGGCCGGUUGGUCAAAUAUCAACUUCAGUCUAUCACGGUGGCAUGAGGAGUUGGAGUUGGAGUUGGAAGCGGCAUGGGCCUGGCUCCUGGCCGCCUGGGCACUGGCCCAAUUAAAAAAUACACCUGCCUUUAUUCCUGCCGCUAGACGCAGACGCCAAUACCGAGUCGUCCAGUCGCUCCUCCGUUUGUUCUGUUCGUUCUCCUGCCGCCGCCGCCAGUCAAAAAAAAGACGAGGAAUCAAUCCAAGGAUUCAAGGAUGAGGCCAGCCAUGCGCUGAUGCGUAGCAGGCAGCAGCGUCUCCUGGAUUUGUGGUUCGUUUGCGCAGCUUGUUUUCUCUUAUCUUUAUUUUUCUAGGUUAUAAAUCUUAGGGAUUUUUUAUUUAUGUGUUUCAUGAUGCACGUACAGUCGUACAGAUGAUUAAUAUGAAGAAGAGAAAGACUAUCAAUAGUUUUUUUAAGCCGAUUGGCUCAAGUGCUCCUGAUCUAGAAGGGGAAACUCAUAAUGAUCAUGUACAAAAUUCUAAUAAUCAGAGUAAUGUUGCUGCUACCGCUGAACCAAUCGAAGCCGAGGUUGCCGAGCAUCCACCAGUUAUUGCUACUAGAUUUGAGAGAGACCCUGGUAAACGUGUUCAGAUAUUGGAAUUGUCAGCGGAUCAACAAGAUGAAGCUCGAAGAUUUUAUAUUUCAGAGGGUCCAUAUCAACCUGUGUUGGCAGAGUACCCACUUAGUGAAUUAGCUCAUCGUCGUCGAUUUCAGAGUAACUGGUUCAAGCAAUUUACUUGGCUAGAAUAUUCACCUCAUACAAACCGUGCUUACUGUCUGCCAUGUUUUUUAUUUUCCAAGAAGCCAAUUGGGAAAGUUGGAUCAGAUACAUUCAUAGUAAAGGGGUUUCAGAAUUGGAAGAAAGUUAAUUGCGGAAAUGAAUGUUCUUUUCUAAAACAUAUGGGAGAUGCCAGCUCAGCCCACAAUUAUUCUGUUCGGUGUUUUAAUAAUCUUAAGAACACAAUGGCUCAAAUUGACAAUGUGAUUGUUAAACAAAAAGAGAUAAUGGUUGCAAAAGGAAGACGAAGGCUUGCGACUACGAUUGAUUGCAUUAGGUAAUAAGAUCAAAUUCUCAUGUCUUUGUGCAGUAUUUAAAGUUAACUUGCUUUCUUUAUGUACUUAUAGGUGGUUGACAUUCCAAGGUUGUCCCUUUAGAGGCCAUGAUGAAUCUCCAGAGUCAAUAAAUAGAGGUAACUUUAUUGAAAUGGUCAAGCUUUUGGCUUCCUAUAACACGGAGGUUAAUGAGGUUGUUUUGGAAAAUGCUCCCAAAAAUGCAAAAUACACUUCACCUGAUGUCCAAAAGGAAAUUCUAAGCAUACUUGCUCGAAAAGUGCAGAAAUCAAUUAGAGAAGAAAUUGGCAAUAGCAAAUUUUGCAUAAUGGUUGAUGAAGCUCGAGAUGAGUCCAAAAAAGAGCAAAUGGCGAUAGUCCUCCGAUUUGUCAACAAGGAAGGCCUUAUAAAGGAGCGUUUCCUUGAUCUGAUCCAUGUUAGUGAUACUACAGCUUUGACACUUAAAGAGUCAAUUUGUGCUGUCCUCUCAGCUAAUGGCCUAAGCAUACAAGAUAUAAGAGGUCAAGGUUACGAUGGGGCCAGUAACAUGAGAGGGGAGUGGAACGGAUUGAAAGCUCUAAUUCUCAAUGAGUGCCCAUAUGCAUAUUAUAUUCAUUGCAUGGCUCAUCAGCUUCAGUUGGCCCUCGUAGCAGCAUCAAGGGAGGUACAUGAGGUACACAAUUUUUUUCAGCAUGCAAAUUUCAUCAUAAAUGUUGUUAGUACUUCUCCUAAGCGCAACGAUGAGUUGCUAGCAAAACAAGCAGAGGAAAUUGCCCAUGAAAUUGAAUUGGGAGAGCUUGACACAGGACGAGGGGCAAAUCAGAUUUCCUCCCUACAAAGGCCAGGGGACACUAGAUGGAGUUCCCACUAUAGGUCUAUUCUAAGCUUAAAGAAGAUGUUUGGUGCCACAGUUUCAGUCCUACGCAACAUUGCUAAUGAUCGUUCAGUUUCAAAGUAUUCUCGGGGAGAUGCCAGUGGUGCCUUACGAAUCAUUGUCACAUUUGAUUUUGUGUUUAUUCUACUCCUAAUGGAAAAGAUUAUGAAGAUCACUGAUGUAUUGUGCCAGACACUCCAAAAGAAGAGCAUUGAUAUCUUAAAUGCGGUGGAUUCUGUUUCUACCACAAAAGUGUUGCUUGGUGAGUUGCGAGAUAAUGGUUGGGAACCUCUUCUUGAGGAGGUCAAAUUAUUUUGUGGAAAGCACGAAAUUGAUAUUCCGGAUCUGAGUAAGAAGUAUGUUUUUCCCCCCAAAUUAUUUAUUCUUUUGUUAAAUUGCACUUGUUCAUCAAUCAAUCCAUAUCUUCCCAUUUGUAGGUAUGUUGAUGUGACUAAAUCUCGAAACAAGAACGACAACACCACAGCCUUUCACCAUUACAAAGUAGAUGUGUUUAAUGUUGCAAUUGAUCAACAGCUAGCAGAGUUAGAAGAUCGAUUCAGUUCUCAAGCGACAGAGCUUUUGUCCCUUUGUGCUUCUUUGGAUCCUAGGCUGGACACAUUCAACAUAGACAAUAUAUGCACUCUGGUAGAAAAAUAUUAUCCUGCUGAUUUCUCAAGUCAAGAAAGAGCUCAAUUAGAGUGUCAGCUGCCACAUUUUCAAAUUGAUGUAUGCAACAGUCCAGAACUAAAGGAAUUAUCAACACUUGCUGAUCUAACAAGUGGACUAUUUAAAACAGGAAAAUAUUCAUCUUAUCCUAUGGUGGACAGGUUAUUAAGAUUAGUAUUAACUCUUCCAGUAUCAACUGCAACCACCGAAAGAUGCUUUUCAGCUAUGAAACUUGCGAAGACACGUCUCAGAUGUACAAUGGGAGAUGGAUUUCUGCGAGAUUGUUUGGUAAUUUAUAUUGAGAAGGAAUUGGCUGCAUCAAUCAGUACUGAUGAUAUUAUUACAGCAUAUGAUCUUGCUGCUAGUCGAAGAGCUAAAUUUAAAUUGAUAGAUAUGUAAUUUUAUUUUGGUUAAGACUUAUAAAACAUGCUAUUAUUAUAUCAUUAUAUGUGACUAAAAUCAGCUCACGUGGCUAUCGGUUCUACAUUGCUUUGUCCAUUGCCCCCCCUUACUUCAAAUCCUGGCUCCGCCCCUGCUACCACUGGCUUGCUAUUCAAGACAGGCGGUCACUGCCGAGCUGGCACUGAGCCACUAGCAGAUCACGGUAGACCACGUCGAAAGUACCACCGGGCCCACCGACCGACCACGUUGACUAUCGGGGUAUGCAGCUGGGCCACCCUGGGGCCACAAGAUGUUGUACGCUUGUACGUAUGUCCCUACUUGCCAUUCACACGUGUUUCGCUCAGAAAAACCGCAGCCUCUCUUCUCUCUCCCUAGCUAGGUGGUGGGGCCCUUACGUGCCCUUUGGGCCCCAUAGGUGGGUGCACCACCGGCCCCACCUCUCUGCACUUUUUCUUUGCUCUGCUCUGCUCGCGAAGCCCACUAGCCCAGCUGAGCCGACACCGAGCCUAUUUAAGACCGGCGGCCACCUCGCCGGACAUCCGAAUCCGCAAACUCCCAACUGUCCCAAGCAUCAUCAUCCCCCUGAUCCUAUCCUCUCGCCCCGCCAAGCCAACCGGUGCCCGCCACGGGAGCCGCAUCGCCGAUGGCAACCGAGAUCAUCCAGGCGCCGGCUCCGGCCAUGCCCGCCGUGGCGGGGCGCACCGCCGCCGCCGCAGGCGGUGCCGGCGGCAACGGCAGGGCGGGACUGCCGCCGCCGAGGAGGGGCCAGAUUAUGGUGAAGAUCCUCAAGGACGUCGUGGCCGCGCUCACCGCCAUCGCCGCGGGCCUCGUCAAGAACACCCGCGGCGGCGCCGGCGGAGCCGUUGUCGGAGGCCUCCCCACCUCCGACGACGCCGACGAGAAGUGAAACUGGCGAUCCAGAAGCUGAAGAAGGACUGCUUGCGUGUUCUCUCUUCCUCCGUCCGACGCGCUCGCUACUCUGCUGCUAUCAUGCGCUCAUUUUAGUGCGCGCAGUAGAGGCCCCGGGUGCCAAAAAUUACUACGAAGCUCUCGUGAUUUAUCUUUUCUGCACUUGUGUGCCUGUCGAUCAGGGAUAGAUCAGUUGCCAUAUUAGAGGUCGCACUGAUUCAUCCGUGGUCUGGUUUCGUUGGUUUGUGGUUCUUGUCCUUCCCAUGGUUUUUGGUUUGGGUUGGGUUUCAGUGGCUGCUUUCAGGAGGUUACCAAGGUUUUUUAAGAAAGAACCUCCUGUUGCUGCUGCUGUUCAGUCUUAAGUUUCUGUUGUGUGAUCACCGGUCAGUAAGUUCGUGUUGUUUGCUGGUGUUUGAUUGUGUAAGGUAGGUGUAGGAGGGAUCAGCGAGUAUUAUGGUCUGCUCCUUUCUUCUCGUGCUACUUGCCACCCCUGUCGUGAUGUAACUUUGUUUGCUAUCUUGUCGAAUAAAUCGAGCUUCUUGUGUGAAAUACUGUCUGUGAUUUGGAAUUCUUGGCUCAAGUGUCCCCCCAAAAUUCUGCAGGUUCACAUCUCCAUUCGCAUGAUUGUAGUACCCCGCAUCUGCAACACGUAGGUGGCUGCUUUCCUGCUGCUGUUUAGAAGUUCGUGGGAUGGAUCGGCAAGUAUUAUGGUCUGAUCCUUUCCCCCUUGUUUGCUACUGUACGGCCUCUGUUGCAGUUGUUGUGUACUUGUGUGAUGUAGCUUUGUUCUCCUCAUGCCAAACAAAUUUAAAACGAGCUUCAUGUGUGAAACAAGUACCGUCUGUGAUUCGGAGUUUCUGGCUAACGUUUUUCCUCCGAACAUUGUGUAGGUAAGCACGUUACUUCAGUUUUCAGGAAAUGGAAUGAUUGUCACCAAACCGUGGCUGACUGCGGGUGCCCUUGUUUAAUUUCCCGCGUCGCCGCGGUGGUCGGAUUCUAGCUCCUCUGCGCCGGCGUCCCAGCCGCCGCCAGCGCCAGCGCCGUCGCCGUGAACAAGGAGGCGGCCGCGCGGCAUCCUCCACGUUCAACGCUAGCCGCCCGUUGCGAAGGGAAGCGUUGGAAACGGUCACAGAUGAUUCCGUCCCACCAACGGACCAGCGAGUCGUCCCGCUGACCUGCUACCCGGUCUGGUCUGCACCGCUGGAACCGGAGAAAGGGCAGCUGCUUGGUGACGAAGGCCGCGUAGCAUGCUCGCUUGCCCCAAAUGGAGCACAUGCCGCGCAUCACCCAACCAAGCGAUCCCCUUUGUGGCGAAAACGCACGGCACUCUGACAGAAAGAAAGCGUACCACACCAGCGGGCCUCGACCAUUCCAGAGCGAAACGCAACGGCGCACUUCGCCUGACCGCUCCACGCCACGCGAAGCCAAAACAAAAGCUUGAGAAGCACACGCUACUGGCAUCGCCUCUGUACGUGCCCCCGAUCCCGUCUCUGUUUCACCGAUCGGACUUCGCCUCCUGCAAGUUGCGGCUCGAAGUCACCACGCGCUUCCCCGUGCCCGGUGGCCGAUGGCGCCCAUUUUAGUCGCGGCCGAGGUGGCGAAAACGAACGCCACCUCCACCAACGGAUCGCCGGUCCAAGUUGGAUGUGCGCGCCACUCUCGACAGGGUUUUCCACAGGUUCAGAGACCCGGAUCGUCAACAAGGCAAACAAUGCAUCAUCGUCAAACAUGCAAAUUGAGUGCCAAUGCCACCAAAGUCCACCAAUUCACCUGUAGUUUUCCUUCCCCCGCGAAGCUCAGGCCGUGCUUGCUCUGCGCCUUGUAGCGUCUCCGGAGUCGUGGCGCUAGUGGUUGUAGCCAUGAACUUGCGCGCGGGGCACCAGCAUCAAACGGCUUUGGCAAUUGGAUGCGAUCUGCAGCGAAGAGCAUCAGAAAUUAGCAAAGCACUCAAGAAAGACAGCUGCGAAAGCAAUGGAACACACGACCCUUUUUUUUGUGUAAAAACCUAAUGGAAGGAAACACAACCUUGUCACUGUCGAAAGUCAAAACCGCAAGGCACGACUGCACAAGAUCAAGGUCCACAACUGCUGCCGAUGAUCAUUCACUUGUAACAUCAGACGGAAUAUUCGGCCGAAAUUGCUGACAGUUACAUGGACCGUACAUAAUGGGCCCCGGAGGUCGCCUUCCGGCGAUGGUGGGCUGGGCCGACAGUGGUGGGUUGUUAGCAUUCGCGCCCGUCGAGUUAUUUGUUGGCCGGUCGGGUCGUCGUCGCUGCGCUGCCCUGCCCUGAAGGCGAGCGAGCUGCGGCUCUGCGCUGCUGGCCUGCUGCUGCUACGACAAGUCCGCUGUCCGCCCAACCAAGUGAUUCACUCGUCACGCCCAUCUCAUUCCGACGCAGCGCCGUUGCGCACGCAGCCACGCAGGCGCAGGCCGCUCGCCCUCCCGGUCCCGGCCUCGCCUUUGCGUCCCCUCGCCUCCACCUCACCACCACUCGCCGCCGCCGCCGCGGCUCCGCCGUCCCGGCCUCCGCGCCGCAGGUCUCUCCCCCCCCCACGGCCCCACCUACCCUCUGCCCCCGCUUGCCUGACACCUGCGCCCUACCCGCCCGCCCCCUCCUCCGCCGCCGGCGAUCGCGGGCGGCCGCCGCAACCGGUGAGUCACGGAACUCCUCUCUGGAUCACUUGGGGCCCCGCCAGAUCCGAUCCGGCCCGCGGGUGGCUGCCGGCAUCGAUCCCGGGUUAGGGGCCGCCGCGCUAGAUCUUACUGCUGAGGGGGUGGUUGCGGUUCGCUUGGAUCAGUGGUUGGGAUCGGCGGUUUGGUGGGUUGCGAUCUCGGGGCGCUGCUGCCGAGGGAAAGGUGGCUGCUUUGGCGCGUUGCUAGGGUCUUGGAGAUGUAACUGCCAGUUCGUCCCUUGUGAUGCAGUGUGGGUUGCAUGAGUGGUAGAAAGGUAGGAUAAGGAUUUGGGGCUCCUUGUCUUGCGUGUUGUAUUGGGGAACAUUGGUGCUGUUCACGGAUUGUUAGUGAAGUUGCUCAAAGUUUACAGUUUAGAUGAUAUUGUCAUCUUUUAGGGUGUGAUUUUCUUAGAUGAGUAGCUGGAAACCUAUUUUUGUACUUUUUUCUGAAAAUGGGAGCGUUGCCUUGAUUCCCAGCAUGGCAGGGCAUUUCAGUUUUUUUUAAUGAUUUGAUGUUUCAAUGUUAGUUUGCAUGCUAAUGUUUGGAAUUUUCCGCAGGCAGAGGCUGUGUAGCGGCGCUGCUAUCUUGCUUACCGUGCUGCUGGUUAUGCUAUCUACUUAUGACUUCAGUUUCCCGAGAUUCUUGCUGCAUCUUGCCCCUUGUCGGUGAGAUUCUGUAGUAACUGCUCCCCUGACUGCAAAAUAAGAAACUAUGCGACUUUCAUCUUCUCUUCAAGAUCUGCCGACCUUCACUAGAAUUGAUGCUUUAGAAAGGGGCUCUAGCAUUGGCAGUGAUCUGAGCUCAGGGCGUGCAAAAACUGUACGCACACUUCAAAGGGAUGGUCCUGUGGCAAGCUUUUCAAAAGAAAGAACACCCCCAUCAUCACCGACAAAUCGAAAGAAAUGCAUGAGAGCAGCUGGUUGCGCUAUUGCACUGAUAGUGCUGGCGUUCUGUGCAUAUGCUUCUUGGAGAUAUUUCCAUGUAUUCCUCUCUGAAGGAAACUCUGAAUACUAUGUGGUUCUUGAUUGUGGCAGCACAGGUACAAGGGUGUAUGUCUAUGAAUGGCACAUCAAUCAUAAUGAUGCAAAUGGAUUUCCUAUUGUUUUGAAACCUUUAGGGAAUGCUCCUAAGAAGAAAUCUGGUAAAUUAACUCGACUAUACCAGCGAAUGGAGACUGAACCUGGAUUGAGCAAGCUUGUUCACAAUGAAGCUGGAUUGAAGAAGGCACUAGAGCCCCUCCUUCAAAUGGCUGAGAAGCAGAUCCCUAGAAGAGCACACAAGCACACUCCACUUUUUCUAUAUGCUACAGCUGGUGUCCGCAAGCUACCUAGUGCAGACUCAGAGUGGCUCCUGGAUAAGGCCUGGGAUGUUCUGAAAAAUUCAUCAUUUUUAUGUAGUAGGGACAGAGUUAAGAUCAUCACAGGCAUGGAUGAAGCUUAUUAUGGGUGGAUAGCUCUUAAUCAUCACAUGAACAUGCUUGGCACCUCAGCAUCUAAAAUGACAUAUGGUUCGCUUGAUUUAGGUGGAUCAUCAUUACAAGUUACAUUUGAGACUGAUAAAACAGUGCAGGAUGAGACAAGCAUUAGUCUGAGGAUUGGUUCUGUUGAUCACCAUCUUAGUGCUUAUUCUCUUACUGGUUAUGGAUUAAAUGAUGCAUUUGACAAGUCCGUGGCACAUCUAGUGAAAAAGUUGGGAGGAGUGGCUAACAAUGGCAAAGUUCAAGUCAAACACCCUUGUCUACAGACUGGAUACAAAGAAGAUUAUGUCUGUUCUUACUGCCACCCACUAAAACAAGAUGGAAGUCCUAGUGUUGGUGAGAAGACAACUGGCAAAGAGAAGCAGGGAGUACCUGUCGAACUGGUUGGAGCACCUCAGUGGAAUGAAUGCAGUGCUCUUGCAAAAGUAACAGUUAAUCUUUCAGAGUGGUCCAGUGCAAGUCCAGGACUUGAUUGUAACCUUCAUCCUUGUGCUCUUGCUUCUAACUUUCCCCAACCACAUGGGAAGUUUUUUGCUAUGUCUGGCUUCUUUGUUGUUUUUAAAUUUUUUAAUUUGACUGCCGAUGCCACUCUGGUUGAUGUUCUAAAAAGAGGUCAGGAAUUUUGUGAAAAACCAUGGAAAGUUGCAAAGAGUAGUGUUCCUCCACAGCCAUUUAUAGACCAGUACUGCUUCAGGGCUCCUUAUAUUGCAUCACUACUGAGAGAGGGAUUGCAGAUUAAAGAUAAUCAGGUGAUAAUCGGCUCUGGCAGUAUUACUUGGACUCUUGGGGUUGCUUUGUGGGAGGCAGGUCAAGCAUUGUCUACACGAAUCGAUAUUCAAGGAUACCGAAUACUGCACCGGGAGAUAAACCCGAAUAUUCUCAUAGUGUUGUUUCUGGUUUCAAUUGUGUUGGUCAUAUGUGCCAUAUUAUGCGUCAGCAAUUCAAUCCCAAGAUCAUUCCGCAAGUCUUAUCUGCCACUUUAUAGGCACAAUUCUGCUGGGAGUUCUGUUCUUGGUAUGGGGUCGCCUUUCAGAUUUCAAUUAUGGAGUCCCAUCAAUUCAGGUAUAUAUAUAUGUAUGCAAGUGCUUUUUUUCUUUAUUUACAUGCCAUCAUGGUUUUCCCACUCUGUAGAAAGCCACUCUACCAUUUAAAGAUCAGAGUGGUACUUGAAUUGUUUUGCACUAGUAUCUGUUGGCUGCAUCAUACCGUUUUUUUUUCUAGACAAAAGUGUUUACCUGUUUUGUUAGAAAGAGAAACCAACAGUGUUUCCAUCACUGGUGGAGCUUGGACCCAAUAUUAGAACCAAUAUUAGAAGGGGCCAACACUGAAUCCUAUGUGAAGUAAGAAAGUUGAGGUGCCCUGUUUGAAGCCUGAUCAGUAAACUUUCCUAAUAAACUACUAGAUUUACUAGUUCUAUACAAAUGUUUUGGGGAGUCAAGCCUCCAUUGGCAACAAUGAAACUCUGCCUCUAGUUGCCAUCUUGUUAGUUUUAUUGCAGUACAUUAAUCUUCAAGAAAUAGCAUUGCCUAGAACUCUUGCUUGAUGCAACUCACUCAUGUUUUUACUUCGAUUGACUUGUAAUAAAAUGGCAUCCAGACAGAUUUUGUAAUGUUAGCUCAUGUAUGUUUUAUAUCACCUUAAAUCCUUAAUCCUGUAACCCCAUUUUCUAUAUAUAAUGGUACGAAAGAAUGGACACAUUUUUUCAUCACAUAUAUUCAAGAGCAUGUUUCAAUUUUUGUUUGAAUCUCACUCUUCUUUACUGUAGACUACUUAGAUGAUCAAACUUUUAAAUGUGCUCUACUUUGUCUGACACUUCACAGGCGAUGGAAGAACAAAGACACCCCUGAGCCCUACUGUAGCUGGGUCAGAUCCCCAUCCGUUCGGUAUGAGCCAUGGAUUAGGAGGCAGUAGUGUUCAGCUUAUGGAGUCCUCUAGGCAAUCCUUGGGCGUCUAUCACAGCUAUUCUGUUGGGAGCUUAGGUCAGAUGCAGUUCUCCAGUGGAGUGAGGAACCCUAGCCGAGGUCAGACUACACUUCAAAGCCGGCGGUCACAAUCAAGAGAAGAUCUCAGUUCUUCAUUAGCUGAUAUUCAUGUUCCAAAGGUGUAGCAUUUGCAUCACAGAAUGACAUGACUAGAAUGAGAUCCUAUAUGCCAUAACAAACUCUGUAAAUAAUAGCUCCAGAGUUCAGACUGCUUGAUUUCUUCUCUAAUCAGAAGUCAAUUUUGUCGGUACACUGACACUUAAGUGAGGUUUAGGAUUCAUAUAAAUGUUAAACUUAUGACUUGGUGUCUAUCCUGGACAUGAUACAUCCAUUCAUCCCAUUGUAUGUGCUAGAGAACAUAGCAUAAAGGUGAAGUUUUUAGUAGUGUACCAGAAGAUAUGUUUAUGCCGUUCACAGGAAUGGUUGGCCGUGGGCUGGAACCUGCAAGUCUGUAGAUCAAUUCUUCUGCAAUCAGGCGGGCAAUACUUCCUUCAAAUGUGUUUUUAAUAUGAAACAUAAUAAAGAUGCAUGUGGCUUCAUGUAUUGUUGUUGUACCCUCUUGUAAUCUUAUUGUGAGCCUUAUCUCCUGGACACCAUUUAGUGUGGCACCUUGUGAUAUCAAAUUGAAAUUUGGAUUAGUACUACCGGAUUAUUCCAGGUGCCUUCAGUGCAGACACGUAUUCAUUUGUAAACCUUAUUUAACAUUCCUUACACGGAAAAGAGAAGGUCAUCUUUUCCACAGAUGGUGUUUUUAUUUGUAUUUGAUUUGUCCGCUGGAAACUGGAGUUUAGAGCUUGUAUCAGGAGAUGAGUGCUUCCCCCAGCUCAUGGCUGCAUAGAUGGGACAUGGGAGGUCGGAGCCCGGAGCCCGGAGGCAUGCUAUGUGAUUUUCAAUAGGCUGCAAACACUGGGGGUGUUUGGGAGGCAUGUGCUAAAUUUUAGCACCUGUCACAUCGGAUGUUUGGACACUAAUUAGGAGUAUUAAAUAUAUUCUAAUUACAAAACUAAUUGCACAACCCCUAGGCUAAAUCGCGAGACGAAUCUAUUAAGCCUAAUUAGUCCAUGAUUUGACAAUGUGGUGCUACAGUAACCAUUCGCUAAUGAUGGAUUAAUUAGGCUUAAUAGAUUCGUCUCGCGAUUUAGCCUAGGGGUUGUGCAAUUAGUUUUGUAAUUAGGCUAUGUUUAAUACUCCUAAUUAGUGUCCAAACAUCCGAUGUGACAUGUGCUAAAAUUUAGCACCUGCUAUCCAAACACCCCCCAAAUUUCGUGGAGAUUGAGAGCACAGUCCUGCGUAAGUAAAAGUAACUUUCUGUAGUAGUUUUUGAAACUUUCUAUCUGAUUUUCACAUGAUUUGUAUUUUUUACUUUUAUCCCAUUUCUGCGGGAUUUUAACCUAUGACUCCUAAGGCCACUCCAAGAUGACUGUAAAGGCAUUUUUGGAUGUAUUCAGAAAUUUCUUAUCGCACUGGUCUCCAUUCGUUUUUUUAAAACAGAAAUUCUUCCCCUUCGUCUUUGACAACUUAACAUCCGAAUUCUGCCUGUAUCAUGAACAUCAGAACGUAUAAUCAAGCAGCACGUCUCUGACAUGUGGGUUCAUCGGUCAGGCUAAGAAGCGAAAUCAGUCGCGCACCUUCGUGUGCUUGCUCACACAUCGACCGUACGAUAUGACCGAUGCACCCGCAACACGAAUCACGACGUCGAUCACGCAAACCCUAACGGCCAACCCUACUAUAUAAACCUUCCUCUCCUCCCCACUCCCGCAGCCGCCGCCGCCCACGAAUUCGAAGCCCGUCGCUUGCGCCUCAUCCCCGCCGCGUCGCCGCCGGUCUCCUACCUCCGCCACCAUGGGGUACGUUCGAUGUCUCUUUUACCCUUCGUCCUGAUUUCCUGCACCUGUGCUCGUGUUGCGCUGGGCAUUCGUUCAUGGAGGCGCUCCUUUGCCGCAGCCCGCAGGAAGCCCUCUGUUCGAUGCGUAGAUGUUAUGUUGUGGAUGUUAUUUAGGCUGCUUUGUGUUGGAUUAGGGAAUGAAAUCGCGUUAGAUGUGAGAAGCAAAACUGAGCUUAUUGACGGUCCAGUGCUGAUCAGAUUAUACACCGUCAGUGCUAAACAUACUCAUAAGCGACAUCAAUCCGUUGCCGCCGUGUAACCAUGUGCUCCUGGAUUCAAAUGCUUGGGUCCGGGAGGUUAUGCGUGGUGGCAUACAAAGUUUGUUUUUCCCUCUAAUGUGCUGUUCUAAGAACCUCCUCAAUCAGUUGGUUCUGAUUCUUUUUUGGGUAUAUGUCUAUGCGGCUGGUUAUUUAUGAUGUUUUUAGUGAGGUCAAUGUUGUGUUAGAUAGAUCUUUAUACUUGUUUGAUUUUUGUGUAGAAUCUGCUUACAAUUCUAGGUGAAAUCGUACCAGUAUUCAAAAUUGAUACAAUUCAGGAUCAAAGUUUACUUUUAGUAAUUUGAAUUGCUUACAUAUAUGUACUUUGGUUCCUCUUUGUACUGGUUGAUGUUCAUUUGUAUCUAUAUGCUCACGCCAUUAGCUCAUGACAUAUUUCACAACUUCACAUAUGCUUAUGCAAUUUACAAUUGUGUUCUGUGAGAUGAAGAACUUGUGAUUUAUAUAAAGUUGAUGUAACAAUUAUGAUUCACAUCACAGAAAGACACGUGGUAUGGGAGCUGGGCGCAAGCUCAAGACCCACCGCAGGAACCAGAGGUGGGCAGACAAGGCAUACAAGAAGAGUCAUUUGGGGAAUGAGUGGAAGAAACCCUUUGCUGGAUCAUCUCACGCCAAGGGCAUUGUUCUGGAGAAGAUGUAUGUUUGAUAGUUCAAUCAUAUGUGCCUGUCUUAUCUCUACCGUUUGUGCUUGCGCUAAGGUCUUAUACUUCUAUUGUGUAGUGGUAUUGAGGCCAAGCAGCCGAACUCUGCCAUCCGUAAGUGUGCCCGUGUUCAGCUGGUGAAGAACGGGAAGAAGAUUGCUGCCUUUGUGCCGAAUGAUGGUUGCCUGAACUAUAUUGAGGAGAAUGUACUUGUUCCCCAAUCAACGCUCCUUGUGAUGCCAGUGUUCCUUGUGAUGAUUGCCAACUGUGUAAUGAAGCUAACCAACUACUUUCUUGCUGUAGGAUGAGGUGCUGAUUGCUGGAUUUGGUCGUAAGGGACAUGCCGUCGGAGAUAUUCCCGGUGUCAGGUUCAAGGUUGUGAAGGUAUCUGGUGUGUCGCUGCUCGCGCUCUUCAAGGAGAAGAAGGAGAAGCCAAGGUCUUAGAUUGCUUGUGAUAGGCAAGAAUGAAGUUGUGCUAGCAAUAGAGCUGUUCAUUCUGAGCUGUAUCUUUGGGCAGCAUUACUAUUUUGUUUCCAUUUUGAAGAUAUUAAUAUUGCAUCGCCUGUGCUCUGAAGCUGAGAAAUCUGUCUCUCCGAGCUGCCUCUUUUGGUAUUGCACAUUGCCUGUUUGUUUUAUCCGUCUUUUGCCUUUGACAAGUCUCUUGUUUCUAAGUCGAGGUAAUGCUUUUUUGAGGAUUGAUUCAUAGUACUCUGUUCGUAAUUUGAUGCUGUGGAGAUAGACUUAGCCUGAUUGGUUCCCUGCACGCAGGUGAACCAGGCUCGCUAGAUGCAGGUAGUGCUAGUUUGGUUGCCGGCUCCGGCCACCGAGAGCCGGAAACGUGAGAAUCGCUCGGAGCAACUUGUAUCCAUAAAUUCUCACUCGGAGCAACUUGUAUCCAUACCUGCAUCCAUACGUUCGUGCAACCAAUCAGGAUGCAUUGUAUGCAACUGGCCUGGCUCACGGGGCAGGCUGGAGCCAUCCAAUUACACCCUUAUAUGGUCACAAAUGACGCCCUGGUCACAGUUUGUGCUUCGAACGACCAGAUGUUAUUUUUUCUAAAAUGGUUUCAUAUUGUCAGCGGGUAGAUUUUCAGCUGAUACGACUCUUAGCUUGAUUAGUGGUGACUGCAAACUCUUAGCCAACUUGAUGGCAGUUAAAAGCUCAAAGUUGUGGGCAAGACGUGCGUAAUCGACUUGUACACGACCGUUUCGUCGAUGUCUCGUAAGAGUGACGAAAUUAUUCAUCCAAUGUGAAAAGUCAGCUUACAAAGCCAUUCAUCCUGUGACACGAGAUGUUCCAGAAGUAGCAACUCAGAGCACAAAAAUCGUCAGCAAUAACGAUGUUCCAGCAUGCUGGAUCACUAGAGAAUUGGAUAGUGUAAAGCGGGCAAAAAUAUAUCAUCUGUAACUCUGGAUGUUAAAUUAGCAAACUACAAAAAUCUAUGCACAACUGUAAUGGCCACAGCUACUGCUCUGGGAUAAACAUUGUAGCGAAACCAUGGCAUAUACACCAAGCUAUCAAAGUUAGCGGCCAUCCUGCGACUCGUCUACCUUAUUCACAUGUACAUCACAGCACGCAGGCAGCAAAGGCACGGCCAUGAGGAUACAGAUAGCCUCCAUCUCCAUGCCAUACAUCUGUCAAGGGAUAAAACAAAAAUUGAGCCGAAAGGUACUUGGCAAUCCUGUAGGAAUGAUGAAGGCAUUCCAGAGUGACUGGAAUUAUCCUAAAGUUGGUGUGGGCAUGCCUGAGAUUGGAUAGUAACUACAGACAACGUCAGCACAAUUCCUAUUUUCAUUCAAAGAAACUCACCAUUUUGACCUUGUUGGCUGGCACUGUGAAUAUGACGCAGUCACCAGCUGUUUGACAAAAAAGAAGCUAUGUCGGAUUCCCAGUGACAAAGAUUAUCAAGAAACUCACCAUCAAGAAUUUAACAUGUGAUUCAGACACCAAGAGCAACAUUAGGACUUUUUGGUCUUAGCCAGUUCUAUAAGACUCUUACCUGAUACAUCCCUCCUUUUAGCAGAAGGUAACCGAGACUGUUCAAAUUAUCAACAAGAGCAUCUAAGUCUGGAACUCGCAAGCUGAUCUUAUCAGCUAAGUUGUAAAUCUCCUGGGAAUAGGAAGAAUGAUACAACAUGAGGGCAGCCUCAGGAAUCAGAACAAUGUUUUUGUGCAAUUAUUCUGAAGUAGACUAUUGUCCUAUUUACUGCAUGAACCAAAAAAUGCUCAAAAUGCCGUGAAGGCGAUUUUUCUCCCAAACAGAGCAGAUUUUGAACAGUAAUUAAACUUAAAAAGAGAUCUAAGUGGCUUGAUUGCCACAUCACUUACAGUUCUUGAAAAGCAAUCUUUUCGUUGCAACUCAGAUUCCUUGUUUAACGCAUUCAGAAACGUCCUUGCCUCCUUUUGUUGGCUCAUCCCACCGCUCCGAGCAAAAUCGACAAAACCAUGUUCAUCAACAUAUUUGUCAUAGAGAGAUUCCUUCAUGAUAUCUACAACAUCCUGCCACAUGAUAAAUUAAGCAUUAAAAUAAUAUGCCACAGGAUGCUGUUUAUAAUUGUGUUUUCCUGUCAGACAUGCGGUUUUUUUCUCGAACCCGCAGGAGAGCUGCGUAUCUUUGUAUUAAGAGAGAAUAGAUGCUCCAAUUACAAAAAUCAUCACCACACCUUGGACCAGAGUGAGGGAUGAGGGUUUUUUUAGACAAAACUCUUACAUAGAUGAAACACAGCUAAGACCUGACCAAGAUAAACCACUUCCAACUCAGACAUGCGUUUGGCUGGAAAUGAGCUACACUUCAGGCAUAGGCAUCAAGAAUCAUAAAACCCCAUAUCUCAUAGCUAGUGGAGCAUAACCCAGUUUAAGUGUAAUAGACAAAGCAAUUCAAUGAGCUGAACGGAUCAAAGGGCCUAGGGUUUUGUGAAAUCUUAUGACCCUGAGAUCUUGGGCCAUUGCAACUAGUUGAGAAACAUAUCAAUUUCUGCAAUUAUGACCAUAAACCAUGCAGUCCAUGAGAUUUUCUCUUUUAAGAUGCAUUCUACUGACACUGCAAGAAAGGUUAAUAACAAAAACAGCAGUAGAAAAACUGAGGAUUGCUUAUUUUACCUGAGCAUCUUCUCUGGUCACUUCUUCUCUUAGAUCCACGCGAGCACGAGCUUCAGCUAAUCUGACUAGGCUUUCCAACUGCCUGGCUGUGAUGGGUGUACCGUCAGCAGAAGUGCUGCGGUUUCUCAAUCCCAAAUAAAAUUUUUUCAAAAUUUCAGCUGCUGCCUUUGACAUUCUUAAGAAGAGAGAAAAGUGAGUGGGCAAGGUAUCAAAAAAUGGAUUACGCCUUGCAUUGCACUUGCACUAAAAGUCAAAUUGUACAAGAUACCUAGGGAAUACAUGUUCUCUUGAAUAAGCUAUAUACUUGCGAAGAAAUUGCCCAGCUAAUGGAGCGAAAUCCUUAUCUUUCUCUGGGUGUAGUCUCAGUCUUGAAGCCACUGAAUUCCCAACAACUCCAAACCCUGGAUCACCAUUAUGUGACACUAUGCAAAGUUGCAAAACGUGAACGAUGGCUUACACCUAAGUUAUACAAACGAAGAGGAAGAACCACAAAACAGUGUGUAAAUAAUAACCUGUUCUGAUCCUCUUGUUGGAUUUGAAAUUAUCACCUUCGUUGGUAUGAAGCUGCUUGCAUGAAAUUUUGGACAUCUUAGUAAUUCAAUUAGAAGUAUGUUCGGUAAGACAAAAUCGUCCUUACAAACAAUAGAUUCAUUGCAUGAUAUGAGCAUGCAAGUUAUCCAUACUAUAUACUUGGGAGAUGUGAAUGAGAAAACAUGUCUGACAGCCACUUACAGCUAUUAUAUGAUCUGACACUCUUUUAUCUAGUAACUCGUCUGGCUUGUCGAGUAGAAUAAAAACCAAGUCAAAACGAGACAGGAGGGCAGCACUCAUCUUUAGAUUCUCGUUCACUGUUUUUGCUCGGCUGCAGCAAACGGUAUAUUUAGAUGGCAAAAAUUGCAUACAAUAGCCAUGAAUAUUUAGGCUUAAAUCCUCAGCAAACCCAAAAAAAACACGAAAGGGAUAAAUACUGGACAUAAAUGUCAGUCACAAACUACCACCAUUUCAUCAAAACAAACGUCAACUACCAACCAAAGUGAAGUGAAAUGGGACGAAAUACACCAGAAAAUAUGCACAGAUGAAUGGUGUUACUUCCAGUUUAGUCCUCUUCAGUUGCAGACUUGCAGUAUAGGACUAAAGUUAAAAGUUCAAUCAAGUAACAUUUCGUUCAAUAAAAAUAUAAAAUCAUCACCACAUACCACUCUAGAGCACCUAAACUACUAGAGUAAUUCCACAUACCUCCAUCUUUAACAGUUGAUGCUAUCAGUAUUGUGUUUCUUUUUUCUUUCGAAGAAAAGGAGGUGAAUGGAGAUGAGUGGCCAAGAAUAAUUGUCAUUUUCAGCCUUAACACUAGAUGCUAUCAGCAUUUCUUUUCCAAAAAAAAA
rnacentral:lncRNA from 1 species